rnacentral:lncRNA from 1 species
AGAUUGGUCGUUAACGGUAACGGUUGCUUGAAAGCGAGGGUUGUGGUCAAGGCCUUGUUUGGCUGUUGUGUAUACUGGCAAGUUCCACACUCUCUGGUGGCAUAGCUCCUGCAGCUUCGUUUUGUACAUCUUUUUUGCUUACAAUAUUUUCACUGAUUUUAAUUUUUUUUUUGGAAUGGGAAACUCAAGAGAAGAGAGAAAUGGAAUUUAGUUGCAAAAUUUGAAGUUUAAUUAUCAAAUAUUACGCCAAGAGAGUACGCUUCAGUUCCACGAACAGGUUCAGAAUAAAUGACGCUUGGGAAUGCUGAAAUGGAAUAAGGCCUUUUUAUAAACAAAUAAUAAUAGUAAACCGACGCCACGGUGUUUUAAAAAUAAGUUUUUUUUUUUUUAACCUUGAAAUUCCUUAUCACAGUGACGUUUUAAAAUAAUAUUUUUUUAAAAUGCAAAAAAAAAAUUUCUUUCUACCAUUUAUAAAAAAGAAAACUUAAAUAAUUUACUGUAUUAAACGUUAAAAUAAACUAAUAAAAAAUUAUCGAUAUUCUAAAAACCAAAUAAAUAAUACCUUUCCUUUAUCUUCUUCUCAAGGAAGGUGGCUAAAAACUUUCUUCUCCAAAGAGAUCUUGUUCUAUAAGGAGACAUGACAUGAAAGUUGAAGGAGAGGGUGAUCGAAGGGGGGAAUAAAAAAUCUUUUAUGGUUGGCUCGUGGACAUGGACUUCUUAUGAAAGGUGGUAACGCUGUCUCAACGUCAUAAUUAUACCGAAGCUAAGUCCAUUUCAAUCAAUAUAAAAUAUGAAUGCGGUAACGACUAACGAGAAGUUAAUAGUUUUGGAUCAAACGAAUAUACAACGUCGUUCGUGUGUUUAUCAAAUAAGAAUUCAAUUUAAACAAUGUAAAUGUGUUAACAAGAAAUUGAGAGUUAUUGAUAAGACGAGCAUAAAAUUAAAACGUCAUUCAUAUGUUCAUCAAACAAGAGUCCAUUUAUGUAUAUGUAUUAACAAGGAGUAGGGAGUUUUAGGUAAGACAAGCAUGUUGAGUUGUAAUCGGAAUAGACAGAAAUCAGAAUAGGAAAUGGAGAUCAGAAUAAAUUAUUUAUUUGAACUGUAGGAAUCGAAAUCGGAAUGAAUUGAAUUGUCAUAAAUGUGUUUACUUUGUCUUGGAAUCGGAAUCGAAAUGAAUUAAAUUAUAACAAAUUAUUAAAAAGUACUUAAUAAAUUAUUGUUAUAAUUAUUAUUUUAUAUUUUAAUUAUAGUGAUUAUUUAUUCAAAAAUUAUUAUUAUUAAUUAUUGUCAAUAAUAUAUUGAUAUAUUAAUUAAUUAUAAUUAUUAUUAUAAAUAUAUUAAUUACUAAUAUUAAUAUAUUUAUCUGCUGUACCGUACAUCCNNNNNNNNNNNNNNNNNNNNNNNNNNNNNNNNNNNNNNNNNNNNNNNNNNNNNNNNNNNNNNNNNNNNNNNNNNNNNNNNNNNNNNNNNNNNNNNNNNNNNNNNNNNNNNNNNNNNNNNNNNNNNNNNNNNNNNNNNNNNNNNNNNNNNNNNNNNNNNNNNNNNNNNNNNNNNNNNNNNNNNNNNNNNNNNNNNNNNNNNNNNNNNNNNNNNNNNNNNNNNNNNNNNNNNNNNNNNNNNNNNNNCAUCUGCUGUACGGCCAAGGCGGAUGUACGGUACAGCAGAUUUGACUUUUUAUUUUUUAUAUUUAUAUCUUUUAUUUAAAGAAGGGGCAUUUUAAGAAAUUUUGAAUGUCAACGGAAGCAAAAGAACUCUAGGUAAUGGGAGAUUGAUUCUCACCUCUCCCAAGGAAUCAAUCUCUCAUUCCUCAUUCUCAAAUAGUGGUGGGUUCCAUGAUUUCAAUUCUGAUUCUUACUCCAUUUUUUGGAAGUAAAUGCCGUUAAUCAUUUUGAUUCUCCAAUUUGGAAAAUAAAUGUACCAUAAUAUUUAAUCAAUUAUUAUGAUUAUUGGAUUUUUCAGAUACUUUUAUCUAUUUUGGUUGGAGGGACGAAGUUCACUUUCUAUUAAAAGAAACAUUAGAGGAGCUUUCAAAGUCUAGGCUAAGGUUGUUUCCCAUGGCCUUGAAGCAAUACCCAAAAAGAGCUUUCCGGCUGGCAAAAUAGGCUUGUGUUUCUGCGUCGCAAAAUGAUGUGAAUGAGCUUUCGGAGUGUUUCCUCUGAAAUUUUAGAUGCUGCAAAAUCAACAUUGUCCCGCUCGAAGUAACCCGGACAAUUUCAUUUCCUAAUUUCUUCUUAUUUAUUAUGGCAUUGAUUUUCAUUGCAAGCUCAUUGCUCUGCUAAGAAAAAGAAUAAAUGGGGGCCAAAAAAGGAAGAAAGAAAUAGAGGCAAAGGCAACAACAUUAAUGCACAAACCAGUAAAGGUAUUCCAUCGAUUUACGGCCACUGAUAGCAAGCCGGGGCCUUUAAAAACGGAAAAUACAAGCAAAGAAAAAUAGAAGCCAAUUGCUCAAUAGUGCAUAAUAUGCAUACGGAAAAUUUUCAUCACAUCACGACCCACAGUUAUUCGAAUAGGUAAUAAGACAGGAAUUUUCUUUCUUUGUUUAAAGUGAAAAAAAAAAAAAUCAAUGGCUCAGGAAGUAUCCCUCCAAUCUCCAGAACCACUCACUUGGCACUGGCAAGCUGGGUGCGGAGUAGCUUGGCAGCAGCGACCAUGUUUGAGAGGGCUGGCUUCACCUCAGUGUACUUGCGAGUCUUAAGACCACAGUCAGGGUUAACCCACAAAAUGUUGGUUUCUAGCACAGCAAGCAUCUUGUUGAUUCUGUCAGCAAUUUCUUCAGUUGAUGGUAUUCUUGGAGAGUGGAUGUCAUACACACCAGGGCCAAUUCCAGCACCAUACUUGACUCCCUCACGGAAGACAGACAGGAGCUUCUCAUCAGAACGAGAGUUCUCAAUGGUGAUCACAUCAGCAUCCAUGUCGAUAAUUGAGUGGAUAAUGUCGUUGAAGUUGGAGUAGCACAUGUGGGUGUGGAUCUGUCAAUCAAUAUACAAUAAGAUGAGACACAACAUCAACAGCUAAAUUAGAGAGAUGAGAUUGGAGAUUGAAAGGGCAACUGACCUGGGUAGUGUCCUGGACGCCACAGUUGGUGAUUCUGAAGGAGUGGACUGCCCAGUCCAAGUAGAAAGCAUGCUCAGAUUUCCUAAGAGGCAAUCCUUCCCUCAAGGCAGCCUCAUCAAUUUGAAUAACGUUAAUGCCUGCCUUCUCAAGAUCCUCGACUUCGUCCUUGAUGGCCAAAGCAAUCUGGUAGCAGGUUUCAUGUCUGCAAAAUUGGCAGCGAUUUAUGUUAAACAAUGUUUCCAUUUCAAAAGGUUAACCAAUAGUGAACCAGUUCUCAUUUAUAUACCUGGGCUGGUCAUUUCUAACAAAGGACCAGUUGAGAAUGGUGACAGGGCCAGUAAGCAUUCCUUUCAUUGGGCGAGCUGUCAUGCUCUGAGCCAAGGAGGACCAGAAGACGGUCAUAGCCUUGGGACGGCUCACAUCACCAUAGAUGAUGGGUGGCUUCACACAGCGAGAUCCAUAGGAUUGCACCCACCCAUUGGCAGUGAAGGCGAAACCUGAUAAUUGCUCUCCAAAGUACUCAACCAUGUCGUUCCUCUACAAAAACAAAUGUCCCAAUUCAAUAUGAGAUACAGCAUACUUCGUAUGCAAUUAGAAAUGCAGAAACAAAAAUGUAUAAAAUUUUAUCUAAUUCAAAACCAGGAGACAUUGCUUUGCUUCCAUUGGGCAUUGUGAAACUCACCUCAGGCUCUCCAUGGACAAGGACAUCAAUAUCAAGCUCUUCUUGGAGUUUGACAACCUUGUUGAUUUCCUCCUUGAUGGAAGCAACAUAUUCUUCCUCAGAAAUCCUAAAAAGGACAAAUAGUCACGGCACAGUUAAUACAGUAGUCGAAGUAAUUUCACACAUGGCAUUGAAUGAAGGAAAACCUCAGAUUGACUCACUUCUUAGCCUUGUAUUCACGGCGGACUCUCCUAAGUUCAAUGGUUUGUGGGAAGGAUCCAAUUGUGGUGGUUGGGAGGAUUGGAAGAUUGAGCUUCUUCUGUUGAGCAUCCAAUCUAGCACUAACGUUUGUAGCACGUCUGUGGUCUGAUCCCUUCAAAGCAGCAGCCUAAUUUACCAAGAGGAAGGAAUCACCGUUAGCAAAAAAAGGAAACUCUAAGGGGCAGCCACAUCAUAAAAAUGGAAAACAAAUCAAUCAUGCCACUUACAGCCUUUUGAACUCUCUCAUUGGUCACUCUCGGGGAGGACUUUCUUGAAGCCUGAGCUGCAGCAUUGGCAGAGAAGAAUCCCUGGAAACAAAUGAAAAGGAGAAACAAAGUUAGUCUCAUUCAUAUCAUUUCAAAAGGAAUAUACAUAUGCAAUUAGUGGGCUGAUUGUGAGAGAAAAUGUCCACAAAACUUUAACCAAACACCAAAUGCCCAAGUUGCCAAAUGAUGUUUAAUUCGGAAAAAUAUAUUUAGAAACAUUCAAAUAAAUAAUUUCCCCUUCUAAAUUUUCAUUUUCAACAACAUAUUUUACAAGCCAAGCUCAACUUCAGGCCAAGAUUUUCUGCUCCUAUAAUUAUAUUUUACCAUAAAACUAGGUCCUUGAAAGGCUAAGAUUUUCUGACUCUUGUGACUAGUCAAAGCCUAAGAUUCUUUCAAUUCAUCCGUAGCUAACAUUUUAGACUAAAAGUAUACCUCAUCCUUUUGGCCAGCCAAAGCCUUGGCCAAUGCAUUCACUUCAACAACUUUCUGGGCAGCAAAUGCCAGCCAUGACUUGAUUUCAUCGUCGAGUUUGUUCUCAUUAACAAGAUCAACAGCAGUGUGAAGAAGUGAGCAGGAGGUGGAGACCACAAGCUUGUCUGCAAAGAAAAAUAAUAAAUUAUACAACAAAUCCCAUAAAAGAAUAAGAAAUAUUUAUCACAAAGAAAAAUGCAGGCAAAGGAUGUAUACCUUUGCCAACAACACCCUCAAGCCCCCGGAGAACACUAAGAGAAGCAGCAAGAUCAUUGGCCCAAAUGUUCCUUCCAUCAACCACUCCAGCAAAGAGGUACUUGCCAGCAGGGAAUCCACUCUUGAUCAAUUCAAGGGUCUUCGUUCCACGAACCAAAUCAAAUCCAUAAGCGGUGACACCCUUCAAAGAAGUGAGGGUCUGGAAUGCCUCAGCUGGAACAUCAGCAAAGUAGGUCUCAACAAGAACAUUCAAGCCAGACAGAGUUGACUCUAGCUCGGCAUAAGCCUCACUGAAUGCAUGCAAUUUGUGUGAGUCAAGAUCCAUAACAAGCAAUGGCUCAUCAAACUGAAUCCAGGAAGCACCAGCAGCCUUAAGCUCAGAAAUAACUUCCCUGCAGAAGUGUUAAUUGGUACAACACAGAUUAAUGAUGUCACUCGAUAUAUACACACAGAGUUAUUUAGCACAUACACAUUUAUAAAUCAGUAAUAGGUGAUAAUUUCUUACUUGUAGAUUGGAAGGAUUUUCGGAAGAAGAGAAAGAAGAGAAAAGGUCUUCGCAACACCCUUGGCAGGCUUAGACAGCAACAAGUAUGACACAGGGCCAAUAAGCACUGGGACAGUUUCAACUCCAAGCUGCAGCAUUAGACAAGUGAUCGAUAUUAGCAUCUCACAAACUUGAUCUGAUUGAUAGAAAGUUACAAGCAAGUUCAGAAUUCGUUUAAUGAAAUCUCUAUGAAAAAUCUUCAGGGUCCACAAUGUGUUGAAAGUACCCUUUUCAAGUAAUUUAUCUUAAGACUAUUUUGCAAACAGUAUUGCUUUCCUUACAGAUCAAAUAAAUCAAACAACAUAUGAACACAUUUACUGAACCAAGUCUAAGUUCAAAGCUCUAUAAAUAAAUGUCAAUGAAUCUAUAGUAAAUUCUAUUGCAUCCUAAGCUAAAGAUGAGCAUAUCAUAUAAGAAUUUCAAGGUGAACGUAACCCAAUUUCAAUAUAUUGUAGAUUCAGAUAUCAAACGAAAUAAAAUUUGUAAAUAUAGACAGAACUGAGAAUAAACACUCACCCCCUUAGCCUCCUUGUACUCAGUCACAGCCUUGUGGGAAGCGUAGGAGAACUUAACAUCGGGUCCCAAUUCAGGAACAAUGAAAUGACUGCAUCAACACGAAGCCAAACACGCGUCAGCAUUCAGUACAAAACCAUUACACCAUAAAUAACUUGAAAUGCCGCUCUUCCAAGUAGUGAAUACUUACUAGUUGGUGUCGAACCACUUGGUCAUUUCCAUAGCGGGAACAGAGGCGUUUCCUCUGGCCAUGGAGAAGUAAACAUCAAAUCCAAUCUCGCCGCCGUUCCAGUUAUACCUCGGGGGCACGGCACCGAGCAUUGCGGUGGUGUCGAGCACUUGGUCGUAGUAGGAGAAAGUGUUGCUGGGAAUGUAUUUGAUCCCGGCCUGGGACAUCUGUUUCCAGAUGGAGGAUCUGAGAUCAGCGGACACCUUUUGCAAAUCCUCAGCGCUGCUCUUGCCAUCCCAGAAGGAUUCCAACGCGAACUUGAGCUCCCUCUUGGGGCCCAUGCGUGGGUAUCCAACGAUGUGAGAUGCCAUUUUACUGUCAUAAUCACGUCAUCAAUGAAUCGAAAAUCAGUCACUUUCAUUAAAUCAAGAAAAUAUUCAUUCAAAUGGAUGGGUCAUUGCUAUUACUGCUCAAAUCAAAUGAAAUCAAGAACACUUAUCAGAGCAUAAAAUCUUAAAUUAAUUUUUUUAUAAAAAAAUAAAAAACCAGUUGAAACAAGCUGAUAAUAAUCCAAGAGUUUGAGAUGAUUUUUUUCUUUCUGUAAUCACAUGAACAAUUAUGUACUUUCAGUCAUUUUUGAAGGAUUAAAACAAAAAAUUCUACAAAUAGAUUCUGAAAAGAAGAAUCUAAAAAUAGAUUCAAAAACAGUAACACAAGUAGAGUUCAAAUUGUUUUUCGGAAAAGAUUAAUUACAGAUCUGAUUGAUUCACGUUCAGAUCUAGCAAAAUCACGGCAGCCAAACACUAGAUCUAACACUAACAGUCACUCACCAGUCCAUUAGAAAAUGAAAUCAAGUUCAAAAUUCUUUUAAAGUUAAUUCUUUUUUAGAAAAUGACCAGAUUUUAGUUGAGUAUUAGUGAGUUUUUUACAAAAUAAUUUAUUUUUGUUUUUUAGAUCCAAAAGUUCGGAAAUCAAAACCAUGUUCAAUGCUUAUUCAUGAUUAACGGCGUAAAAACGCUACUGCAGAGAAGACAUAACGAAAAUGGGAACCGUACCAAACAGAGAAAGAAGAGCAGAGAAAUUGAGAGUCGAGAGGAGAGAGAGAAGAGAGCGGCGAGUUUGGGGGAGUGCCCUCUCCGUUAUUUAUAGCCAAAAAUCAAAUCUGGUUUGGUGGUUGCCUUUGGCGUGCCAACCUGUAGAUCUGAGAUUUUUCAUCUUAAUUUCUUUCUCUUAUUUAUUUAUUUAUUUAUUAUGAUUUUCAGUGCAGUUCAUAAAAUAUAGAGCUGACGCGCGCUUUUCUGAUGUGGCGCGUGAAUUGGAAAUGCGGUAGGUCUUUGUGGGCCCCACGGCACGGUCAGGACUGAAGGAAAAAUGUGAGAAGUUAUCAUAAUUUCAACAGUGCCAUAAUUAGCAAUUACACCACCAAAUAUUUCUUGAGUUUUUUUUUUUUGAUUGCUUUAAAUGCAGAGUUGUUAUGAAUUGUGUUAAUUGUAGAGUUGUUAUGAUUAGAUUACAUUAUAAUUCGUCACAAUUAUGAUAGGUAUGUACGUAUAUAAUAAUUUAUGAGUAAUGAUAUAACCACAAACUCUUAUACAAACUUAUUUUGUACAAAUUGAUGUGGCAUGAUAAAAUUAGUUGAAUUAAAUAUUACUUGAUCCACAUGAUUUGUUAUUAUUAUUUUAUAUUUUCAUUCAACCAAUGAAUUAAUGACACGUCAGUUUGUACAAGAUAAGUUUGUACAAGAGUUUAUGGUUGUAUCAUCACUCAUAAUUUAUAUAAGAUCUCGAAUAUUUAAAAAAUUUAUAAAUCAUUAUUUUCAUGUACAUUUACCUGGUAGCAAUGACAAUAACAUAAAAUAAACUCCAAACAAGAAUGGAUUAUAUUAUUUAUGUUAUUUUAUAGCUUUUUAAUUGAUUUUUAAAAGGAUUAAUUGUUAAUCAUUACUCUCCAACCGUAAUCACCAUUAAAUAUUUAUUUAAUUUAAUAGUCGGUAGAUCAUAAAUAAGAUUAGAAUAUUUAAUGGACAAUCUAAUUGCUACUACAAUUGUUAUCAUUUUUUUAAGGUAAGGGAUUAGACAAUACUCAAAUUUAUUUUUUAACCCCUUACUCCCUAAAGAUUCGAAUUUAACUAACUAAUUAAAUAAGACUGCUUAAAAACCACUCAACCACAUCUUUUGGGGACCAAUUAAUAUCGAUGUUUAAACUGAGGUUUAUUAUUAAAUUUUUUAAGUUUCAAGUUUCAACCGCUAACAACAUUAUCAUCGAUUAAUGAUAAAUAUAAUAAUAUUUCAUCAAAAAACCAUUUAACACAUCCAUCCAUAUUAAACAUAAGUAAAAAAUUUAUCAUGCAUUUCAAAUAUAUUUUUCAUCCUAAAAGUUAUGGAGAAAAUCUUGAUAUCAAAACUUACAAUGUAAUUAUGGGAUGUAAUUUUGCAUUUGAGGUCAGCACAACUUAAAAAUUACUAUGAAUGAAAAUUUAUAAUAAGCAGACACCACAAAAAAAAAUUAUUUAUAAGUAUUACAAUCAUGCAGUUUUAUUUAAGUAUUUAACCAAGUCAUUCAAUUUCUAAUUAAGACGGUAUAAAUUAGAUUUGGGCUGCCUAAGACCAAAAGUCAAAAAAAAAAAAAGAAUAUUCCUAAUAAGCAGCCUACCGCGGUCACGCGCCUUAAGAAACGCUUGGACUUAGCACACGAUUUUAAUCCAAAAUGUAUAAAAAAGGAAAAAUUUAUGAGGUGUAUAAUUAUCUUGAGUUGUUAUAUUUUGAAGAAACAAUGAAGAAAGUUGGUGGCCGAAGUUGAUCCGGGGCGAAUGGUGGUGGGCCCACGUUGUUGCAUUAUAAUUGGAGUUAUUGUAAUUUUUCUUAUAAUUAAUAAACUCCAUUUUUCAAAGAAAAUAAAUAAAUAAAUACACUCCCGAUUACGAAAAUAUCAUUUCAUGAGUGUCAAAGUUAGAGCUGGCAAAAUUUGACACGACCCGAUUACCUGACACGAACACGACAUAAAUAAAUAAGUAUGGAUCGUCAAAUUUAACACGAUUAUUAAAUGGGUCGGGUCUGGGUCAACACAAUUUUUUUCCGUGUCGGGUUUGGGUUAAAAUUCUUGACCCAUUUACCCGAUCAAUGACCCGAUUAUAUUUUCUAUUUUAAAAUAAUUUACAUAUUCUUAUAAUUAAAACUCAAAUAUUAGAGAUAUUUUUUUUAUUCUUUAAAAUGGUGAAUAUAAACACAGUGUUUUAUUUAUAAAAUUUUACAUACAUUUAGAGCUUCAAUAGUGUAAAUGUGUAAAAAUUGAUAGACAUGUAUAUUUUAUAAUAUUGAUAUAUAAUAUUAUAUAUAUAUAUAUAUAAUUAAAACCUCAAUAGUGUACAUGUGUAAUAUAUUGGUAGAUAUGUAUAUUUUAUAAUAUCGAUAAAUUAUGUAUGUAUGUAUUUAUGUACAUACGUAUGUAUGUAUUUAUGUAUAUACGUAUGUAUGUAUUUAUGUACAUACGUAUGUAUGAUAGUGUGUAAAUAUUUUAUGUAACUUUUGUUCAAUAUAUAGAUAUUAAACGGGUUAUUGGGUAACCCGAUUGUUUUUCCGUGUCGGGUUUGGGUCUCAAUAUUUUGACACGAUUAUUAAAUGGGUCGGGUUUGGGUCGACCUAAAUUUGACACGACACGACACGAACACGACCCGAUGACCCGUUUUGCCAGCUCUAGUCAAAGUGACCGUCACCUACGCAUCGCGUUUGUUGGGCGGGGUGGGUAAGGUGGGGCGAGGAGUUUGUUUGAUCGUCUGAUUACUUUGAUUUUGAUGAAACGUAUGGACGACGGCGAUGGCUUGCCAGCAAGUGGGUUUAUCAUGAUUUUGAUUGUAUUCGGGGAGAUGCUUAUGUAUAUCCUCAAAACUUCUUGGAAAUGAAAACCGCUGGGGUGGCAAAUCUUGACCAAUAAAGUGUGCGUGAUGUUGCGUUUAUAAAUUUCAAUAAUACUAUUGGCCGAUUGAGAUUAUUUUUAAAAAGUUUAAAAAUAAUUUUUAAAGGUUAAAUGUUAAUUUUAAUAUUGAAUAAAUUUUUAAAAAUUAUUUUUGAUAAAAUCAUUUUAUCCUCCAAUAAAUUUUAAAAAAUAGCGAUACAGUAAUUUUUUAAAAUCUAAUUUUAAUAAUCAAAACUAUUUUUUUAUAUAAUUUUAUAGAUAUCCGCAUAUAUAUAUUAUAAAAAUUCGAAAUCAUUAUUAUUAAUUAGGAAAUAAAAUCAUUAACUUUUAAGAAAUUAUUAUUAUUACCAAUUAUACUGACAUAACAAAAUAAAAAAUUAAUUAAUAUUAUAAAUAUUUAUUUCAGUUAUCAACUAUUAUAUAUACACAAUAAAAAAUAUUUUAUAUACAUAUUUAUAAAUGUAUAAAUAAUUUUUAUUCAAUAUUAUAUCGAAUUAAUCAUUUACAUUCUUGCAACAAGUUAACAAUAAAAUUUACCAAACACAUACGAUUGUUUUUAAAACUCAUAUUAUUUUUUUAAAAAAAAAUUACUAAACCUUUAACUGAUUCUCUUACAACUGAUUAUUUCUACAGUACAAUUAACAACAAUUAUUUUAAAAACUAUAACAUUUUCAAACUAGCCCCAUGACAAUAUUGUUAUUGUUGUUUUUCUUACUCUUAUCAAUAAAACUACGUUGCACAUAAGUGCAUAAAAAUUCACACAAAAUAAACUAUUUAACUUUAGGGUAUUAAUUGAAAAAAAAAAUCAGAUUAAGGUGAAUAAAUAUCAGAAAAUAACAAAUAGAUAAACUCUCACACUCUUUAAAAAAAUUAAUUUUAUAAUUUUAUUUAAAACCAACAGAUAUUACCAAACUUAACGGAUCAAUGUUCCAAUGUUUUCUUUUUAAUUUCAAAACCAACAGAUAUUCUUUGUUCAUUAUAUGACCUCCAAACAAAUAAUUUCAUUAAUAAAAUAAUAAUGAAAAGUAUCGUGGUGAGUACAGAGUAAUUCGGUGGCUAAUAAAAGUCUCUAUUUUUCGUCUCUGUUUUUCAUUUUAACUCUUGGGGUUGGUGCCACUUCGGCCUUGGUCGGAGUGGUGGGCUGCUGCCCUCACAAGUAUUGUGAGGACAGUGGUUCAAGCCCCCACAAAUAUUUUUGUGGGGGCUAACGUACUUAUUUAUUUAAUAUUUCAAAAAUUUCUUCUCCCUCGUGCAAUACGAGUGGAGUAUGGACAUCCCUCCUCUAUAAGGGAUUAUUUGUCUGGGCAUGUACUUCACAGAAUUCAAUGUAAUAAUAUAAGUCUCAAUCAUAUAUUUUUGAUUGUAAAUAUCAAUAUAAUAUAUCUGCUAUAAUAGCAGUUGUAAAUAUCUGUGUAAUGCAAUAAUAUGAUAAUUAAUCAUUAUUCAAAAAAAAAACUCUUGGGGUUGGUAGGCUCGUGAAUGGUCCACGUAACCUCUGGACGUAACACUCAAACAAAGACAGCACAAGGCACAUGAAAAAUGCCUAAAAACCGUAAAACCGUGACGUGUUCAACAUAUUAAUAAAUUUAUACUGUGUUUUCUUUUUUUUUUUAAUACUGUGUUGAUAAAGCACUUACGAUGGAACGACCAAUUCUAUUACUUGCAAAACUAAUUAAUAUUUCACUCUAUCAUCUAACUAAUGGAAGGCCAUCUUAAUUGAGGUUGCAAUAGUUAGAAAGUAGCGGGAAGGGUGGCCAAUGCUCCAUAUUAAUUUGCAUCAAUCCCUUUCUGGUGAAGAAGUACGGGUGAAGUAGAGGUCAAAGUUAGAAGAUGAAGGGUGUGUUUGGGAAUUGAGAGUGAGGUGCUGUAGUUUUUUAGCUGCAGUUGCUGUGAAAUAAAAGUUAUAACUGUGGAAUAGAAGUUGAGAAAAAAAAUUUGUUAAGCUGCCAAAGCCCAGUUACAAAUGUUACCAAACACCUUAGUAGCUAGGCUUUGGCAGCCCAUCUACCCCAUCACACUCCCAAACGGAUUAGAAGGGGACCGGGAUUGCUUUGUCAUAUUUGAAAAUGAUUUUGAAAAAAUAAAAAUUAAGUUCAGAAUUUGGUAAAUUCCUUUAAAAUUUCUUUUAGCAAAAUCACUCUCUCCUUUAGAUUUUGAAAAGUAUGGAAUGAGUAGUUUUUUAAAAUUUAAUUUUGAAAUUCGGAUUCAUAUUUAAUAUAAUACCAUAUAUCAUAACAUGUAUUAUAAAAAUCUAAAAUUAUCCUUAUUCAAUCAAUUAAGAAGUAAAAUCUUACAUUUAAAGAUAUUAUCAUUAUCAAUUAUAUUUAGAUAAUAAAAAAUACAAUUAAUAAAAUAAAAAUAUUUAUUUUAGUUAUCAAUUAUUAUAUAUAUACAUAAAAUGUAAUUAUAUAAACAUAUUUAUAAAUGUAUGUGUAAAUUAAAUUUGUAGAUUUAUGUUUAUAUAGAUCAUUUGCAUUCUUAUCACAUUUUAAAAGUGAGAUUUAUUAAAUAUAUAUAUGAUUAUUUUUAAAAUUUACAGCACUUUUUAAAACAAAAGUAUCAAAAGUUUAAUUGAUUCCUUAUUUUUACUGUACAACUAACAGUAAGAUGUGUUUGGUUCAAGUAUAAAAUGAUGGGAUUGGACAAUUUUAAGAUUAAAUAAUCCUAAUGCAAUGUUUGGUACCAAAAAUAAUUGUGGGAUAAAAAUAGUGGACCCCACCAUUUAAUCCAACACAAUGUCAAAAUUUUAUCACAAAGGGGGGUGUGGGAUAAGCUAAAACUUAAACGUAGGAUAACAAAAAAAAAGCCCAAAAUUUUAUACAACACAGUGAUUUUUUUUUUUUUUUGAGUAUGUCAUCAUCCAAUGAUAGUAUAUAUGCCAGAACACUCUUUUGACGUUAAUGAUAUGUAAUAUUUUCAUAUAUACAGCUAGUGACAUUGUUAUGUAAUUUCUUUUUCAUUUAUAGAUUUAUAUUAUUAUUAUAUUUGUUGAUGAUAUUCUUGUUAUGUUUAUAAUUAUAUUAUUUAGUAAUUUAUAAGUUUAAAAACUAUAACAUGUUAAAUAUAAGAAAAACUUUAAGCGAAGAUUUUGUAUUUUUUAACAAAUUUACCAAUAAUUUUUUAUUUAAGUUAGAUUAUAUUCCAUGUCAUUUUAAAAUAAAUCUAAGAUAAUUUUGAUAAAUUAAUAAAUAAGACAUAUUAUUAGUUACUAACCAAUUUCAUGGCAUACCAAACAUGAGAUAUGAUUAUUUACAGUCUAAUCCAACAUUGCACCAAACGUAAUAGAGUAUUAUAUAUAAUCCAAUGUUAUCAAAUCCAAUCAUAUCUUAUCCAAUCCGAUCCGAUCCAGUCUAAUCCAAUUUGACAUACCAAACAAGCCCUAAUUAUGUUAAAAACUACAUCAUUACCAAACUGACCCUUAAUACAAUCUCAUACAUACAUACAUAUAUAUAUAUAUAUUAAAAAUUAAAAAUUAUCUUUAUUUAGUUAGGAAAUAAAACCAUUAUAUUUAAAUAGAUUAAUAUUAUUACUAAUUAUAUUCAGAUAACAAAAUUAAUAAAAUAAAAAUAUUUGUUUGAUUUAUCAAUUAUUAUACACACAUAUUUAUAAAUGCAUGCGUAAAUAAAAUUUUAUAGAUUUAGGCCAAGGCGGAUGUACGGUACAGCAGUAUCUUUAUUUAGUUAGGAAAUAAAACCAUUAUAUUUAAAUAGAUUAAUAUUAUUACUAAUUAUAUUCAGAUAACAAAAUUAAUAAAAUAAAAAUAUUUGUUUGAUUUAUCAAUUAUUAUACACACAUAUUUAUAAAUGCAUGCGUAAAUAAAAUUUUAUAGAUUUAUGUCUAUUUAAAUCAUUUGCAUUCUUAUAACAUUUUAAAAAAAGAAAAGAAAAGUGAUUUACCAAAUACAUGUAAUUGUUCUUCAAACUUACAACACUUUUAAAAUAGAAUUUAAUAAAUGUUUAAUUAAUUUUUUCACAGCUGAUUAUUUUUAUGGUAUAACUAACAAUAAUCUAUAAACUUAUGGUAAAUAUUUGUGUGAAUGUUGGUCCAUGUAAAGAAGUAAAAACAACGCAUAUAUCAAGCAAUAAGAUAUCAAAACUCUUAGUAAAAUACAUAUACUAAUGAAAGAAUGACAGCAAUGCAAUAAAUAAGAUUAUAAUAUAAAUUAUUAAAAUUGUAUAUUAAAAAUUGAUGUAUGAAAUUCUUUUUAUUUUAGUGAUAGAUAAUGUGAUAUAUUUGAAUAAUUUGAUUAAAUGAAAAGAAAAAUAACAAGUAUGGUUGUGGAGGAAAUAAACCAUUGAACUGUGGAAUGUUAUUAAUUAUUGCUAUUUCAUUAUGUAACGUCCUGAUAAUAAGUACAGUGUUAUAGUAUAUUGAUGGGUGGUGAUAUUGUCACCCCUUAAAUUGUGUAAAGUCAACCUCAUUUACAAAUUUUUUGAUAUAAAUUAAAAAGUACAUUAGUUUUAAUAAAUUAUAUAUUUAUUGAAUAAACUAGAACCGUUAGGGAGCUGUAAUGUUAGCACUGUUUUAACUUAUUAUAAAAAAAAAAGUUAUGAUUUGAUCAUAACUCUAAUUUAGAAAAGAAAAAAGAGUUGAAUUGCUAACAUACUUAAAAAUAAAAUAAAAACAUUAUUAUUAGAUGAAAAAUUGUAAAACUUAAGGGGGCAUUUGCAAGUCCGCCACUACUCAAUAGAGCAUUAUUCAGUACUCGUUAAUAUAUCUCGAACUUUUAGGUUUUUUUAAUAUAUUUUUAAUACAUUUUCUAGAACAUUUAGAUAAAAAGAGUCAGUACUCCAAUUGAGUUGUGAAUAAACAUUUAGAUAAAAAGAGUCAAUACUCCAAUUGAGUUGUGAAUAAACUCAUGUUAAAAAAAAAAAAACUCAUUUUCACACUUGAAACGAUUAGUAAAUGGGUGAUACGAAUUUAACUUGGUCAAUAAUAUAUACCAUCUUAAGUUAACUUCAACUCAUUGAUCUUCUAUAGGGUUGAUCAGCCUGCCACAAGGCCCACAAAUUAUCACCUCUAAUGCUUUUGCAACAGUCGUUAUAAAUGCUGACAAAAUGAAACUUCUAUAUAUUUUGGUUUUUUUUUAUUUCUAUGAAAUAUAAGGCCCUUAUGGCAAAUUUCCAUCCAGCGUGAAAUUUGCUAGUUUGGCCUUGGUACUGUGGCACAUGCGUCAUGCAUGCGUGGCUGAGAUGCUUCUAAAACUAAUAAAUUAUGAAGAAUUCCAAAUUCGUACCAAAAAUAAGAGAAUAGGAGCUUGUCAUAGGUGUCCGCGGAUCGGAUUUUAUGGGUUAAACAUUAAUUCAUAUUUGAUUCGUGAUUUUGUAGAUUAUAAAUUUUUAAUUUAAUUCAAUUUAUGGAUUAGUGAAACUCAAUACAAAUUCAAUCCAUAUAUAUGCAAAUUAGAUGCGGAUUUAACCCAAUGCAUAUUCAAUCCAUCAUUUGGCGGAUUGAUUUGCAAAUUAAAAGUUUUUAAUUUUGUCCAAUCUAAAAAGUAAUUAAAUUAAAAAAAUCUAAUAUAUAAAUAAUUGAUUAAAUAAAAAAAUCUAAUGUAAAAAUAAUUUUACUACCAAUUAAAUUCAAAAUUGAACAAGAUUUAAAUAAAUUUAGAAUAAUACAUUCAAAAUUUUAAAAUAUAACACACCGAAAAAAAAAUUCAUUUAUUUAGAUCAAUACAUGAAAAUUAACUAAAAUUAUGAAUUUAAAUGUUGAAACUUGAAAGCUUGGAUGUAACAGGAAGAAUUUAAGAAACUUGAAGAGCUUGAAAAGAAAGUAAGAAAUUAAGUUUAAUUACCUCAAGUGGUGAAGUGAAACAGUGAUUGGCUUGUGCGUGCGGUGGGAUAGAGAUUUGGUGUUAUAUGUCAAAAUAUUUUGUUUGGCUUGGGGUUUUUGUUUUGCUUUAGAAAUUUUAAUGUUUAGGAAACUAUAUUUGCUUAUUUAAUUAUUUCUUAUUUUAUAUUGUUAUCGAAUAAAAUAUAAUAUUUUGUUAAUUUAGCUAUAAUUUUAUGCUGAAUAUAUUUAUUUAAAACGAUUUUAUUAAAUAAAUGUGCAUAUUUAACGAAGGUCUCUGAAAUUUCAACCUGCCUGCUAAUGAUAGCCAAUACGGCACGACCCACCAAAUGUCGGCCCACGCGGGCUUGUGGGCCAUGACGACUUUUUUUGUAAGGGCCCGGCACGGCCCACGGCACGAGUCCGUGCCCAAAAAAAGCCCACCUACCUUUUUUUUUUUUGUCCACAUGUUCAGCGUGCCUAAAAAAACCCACGUGCCUGACGUGCUUUUUUAAGCCCACCAGCCUAAUAGUAACAACAACAACAACAAUAAUAAUAAUUUCAUAGAAAUAAUUAAUGAAAAAUAAAAUAACAAUUCUAGAAUAACAAUUACAUCUAAUUUUAUUUGAACAACUAAUAUUAUAAUUGCACAUAAACUCUAUUGAAUGAAAAUGUAAUUUUUAAUUUAUUAUAAAAAUAUUUUGUUCAUAAUUUUAUUUUUUUGUGCGUAAAUAUGAAAAAUAUUUCAUUCACAAAUGAAACAUAUCUCCAUUAACUAUUAACUAAGUUAUGAUUUCAUAAAUGAAAUAUUAAUGUCGUAAAAUUUUUUAUUUAUCAUUUAUAAAAUCAUGAUAUUUAUUUAUCCAUUUAAUAAAUUAUAAACAUAAAAAAAUUAGAAUACUUAUUUAAACUAGGACUUAAAUUAAUUUUAAAAAGCCUAUACUAAAAAAAUAUAUUAAAAUUUUUAAUUUCAAGGUAUUUAUAAAAUCAUGAUAUUUUAUAUUUAUUUUUCAUUAAAAAAUUUUAUUUUGAUAUACUUUGGCCCACGUGCUAUUGGUGGCCCACGGGCCGCGUGCUUAGCCCACCAAUAAAGUGUGCUUAUUACAUGCCUUUUCGCGUGCCGUGUUUUGCCCCAUCUCUAAUCAUACCGUGCUUUUAAGGCCUGCGUGCCUAAAAUUCUAGGCCCGCCAGCCGUGCCGUGCCGUGCCGUGCCUCGUGCCGCCUGGCCCAUUGGCCAUCCCUACUGCCCGCCAACCACAUUUGUCCAAGAUCAAUUUGUAGGAAAAAAAUUUGAAAAUCAAUAAUUUAUUUAAUUAAUUGUUAAUGUAGGCAUUUGAAUCCCCACAAAAUCUGGGUGUCAGUUCUAGACUUCUGGUGAUAUAUUUUUCUAAUUAAGGAAUAAAAUAUUUUUGUCAUUUUUUUAAUAUUUUAAUUUACCAGGCAUAUCAACUAAUUAAUUUUUCUACUUAGACUAUUAAUUCAUUACGUGCGCAAUCUGUAGCCCGGCGCUCCAAUCCCAUGCAUGUUACACACAACUCAAUCAUUAUUUAUUUAUUUAUUUAUUUUGACCAACAACUCAAUGUUUUUUAUAGAGCUGUCAAAAUUUGACACGACCCGAUUACCCGACACGAACACGACAUAAAUAAAUGGGUAUGGGUCGUCAAAUUUAACACGAUUAUUAAAUGGGUCGGGUCCGGGUCAACACGAUUUUUUUCCGUGUCGGGUUUUGGGUUAAAAUUCUUGACCCAUUUACCCGAUCAAUGACCCGAUUAUAUUUUCUAUUUUAAAAUAAUUUACAUAUUCUUAUAAUUAAAACUCAAAUAUUAGAGAUGAUUUUCUUUUUUUUUAUUCUUUAAAAGGGUGAUAUAUUUUAUAAUAUCGAUAAAUUAUGUAUGUAUGUAUUUAUGUACAUACGUAUGUAUGAUAGUGUGGAAAUAUUUUAUGUAACUUUUGUUCAAUAUAUAGAUAUUAAACGGGUUAUUGGGUAACCCGAUUAUUUUUCCGUGUCGGGUUUGGGUCUCAAUAUUUUGACACGAUUAUUAAAUGGGUCGGGUUUGGGUCGACCUAAAUUUGACACGACACGAAACUGACACGACAUGAACACGACCCGAUGACCCGUUUUGCCAGCUCUAGUUUUUUAAUAUGAAAAGGUAUUGGUUAGCUUUGUCUUUAGUUUUUUCAACUUAUAAUAAGUUUGUAUUAAGGCUCCCUUUGGUACAGAUUUUCAAGUAAAACUUAUUUAGGGUUAUUUUUAGGGACCUCCCCUGAGGUUUGGUGUAUUAACAAUCUGAUAGAAAGUAUUCACGUAAUUACAAAGACCUCCCCUGACAUUUGUAUUAUGUUAAGUGGACUGUUAUUGACUAUUGAAAAUCCAAAAAUACCCUUCCUGCCAAAAUAUUUCUUUAUUCACUGAUGAACUGAUGGGUAAUUCGUGCCAAAAUCACAAAUUACUUAAGAAGAUGAAAAUAUCCAUUGGAUAAAAAAAAUGAAAUUGCUUAAUAAAAAAAUUGACAUUGCAUAAUAAUAAAAAAAAUUGAAAUAAUGUGCGGCGGCAUAGCUGCAUCUUGCAUGCAUAUUAUUAUUGUGAUUUUUUUAUUACAAACUCCAUCCUGCAUGCUUAUUAUUAUUGUGAUUUUUUUUAUUACAAACUACUUCAUAACUAAUACAUGCCACAAGAGCAGAGCUAUUAAAAGAAAUGAUUUUCAUAUUGUAAACUUGAUAGUACAGGUGUUGGCACCGACCAUAAAACCCUUAUGAUACCAAUCUUUGCUCCAUCCAUAUUUAAAUCCAGAUCAAGUAAAUAUUAAAUUGGAUUUCAGGUCCUGAAAAUCCCACUCUAUAAUUGAUAUCUUCGAGUUUUGUUGGUGCCUCAAACCUGGAUCUAGAGCAUCAUCUCUGUCAUACUCGGAACACCUAAACUAAUGGACUUGCUGCAGCUGCUUAUUCUUCUUCUGAAAUGAUGCACGCAGAUAGAUUACAGACUUUGAAAUAAGAAAUACAAUAAACAACAUGUAAUCGAACUUAAGAUUUCGGCAAACUUGUUUGAAAAUUAGAAUCAAACAAGGAAAAUGGCAAGUCAAUAUUUUUUAAUCUAGAAAAAGGGCAAUUUCAAAGUUUAUCACAUGCCAAAUUCAUAGUCUUGCAUCCACUAUUUUCUAGUUUGAAUAACAAACAAAAGCCUUAGACAAAAACACAGAGAACAUCUCACAUGGGAGCAAAAAUUGUGUGUAGAACAAUAUACUUAAGUUACAUGUGAUUACAAUCACAUUAUUUAGCAAAUACAAAAUUACCUUCUCAAAAAAAAAAAAAAAAAAAAAAACACCACCAAAUUAUUGAAGGUAUUACAACAAUAAGGCAAAAGAACACCAAAGGCAUGCACAAACCGAAACUAACACACAACUCAAUUAGUGUCAUGACCCCAAACUGAACAAUCAUAUAAACCAUUGUGGGCUCUCUAAAAGAUUAUCACAUUAUAAGCAAACAGAAACCUAUAUUUGAUGAACUACAUCUAGUACUUACACAACUCUUAAAUCAUUAGGAAAUUGCUCUUAUCAGUCAUUACCCAAUAGUUUUUUUCAACUCAACACUAACAACCCCAAAGAGAAACAACAUCCAGCACCAUUUUCAUUAAUUAAAACAGACCCAUUGUUAUUUUUAAUCAAUAAAAUAACAACAAUAUCGUGUAAGCCACUGAUUCAAGCAUUCAAGCUGUGUUUUCGAAGACUGACCUCUUCUUGCUAUCUAAUUCCAGUCACGAUAGACGCUAGAUGCCGGCAAUACUCGCUUCUUGGAAGCUCUGGACCACCGCACGACGUCAUCUUGUGCAGUAGAUGAAAAUAAAUCAAUGAUUUCAGAAAUUAUUUGUGAGUUGCAGACGCUUCUUCUCCAUGGAUGAAAAUGAUGGUGGGUUUUGUUCAAGUGUAAGCUGUGUUUACGAGGAGAAGUACACUUUGUGAAAAAAUCAUUUUCUUUCAUCUACUGGAUAAUGACUUUGGACUGGGUAAUGGUGUGUUUAAGUCUCUAUUUCACGGACAUUGAAGCAUAUUUUGCUUGAAUUUUGAUUUUGUUUAAAUUUCAAGUUUACUUUUACUUGUUUACCCUUUUAUACUGACGCUUAUGUAUUUUUAUACUAACGUUAAGGGAGGUCUUUGUAAUUAUAUGAAUACUUUCUAUCAGACUGUUAAUACAACAAACCUCAGGGGAGGUCCCUAAAAAUAACCCAACUUAUUUAAAUAGAACUUUUACAAAAAAAAAUUUAGUUAUUUGGUUGUCAAUAAACUUUUCAAGUAUACUUUGUUUGGUACAGCUUUUCAAGUAAAACUUAUUUAAGUAGAGCUUUUACAAAAAAAAAAAAAUUAGUUGUUUGGUUGUCAAUAAAAAUUUUUAUUAAAAAAAAUAUGAAAUUACUUUAUUAGUCAAGUUUUUUUAAAGUUAUGCUAUGAAAAGAAUAAAAUAAGAUUGUCAAAUAAAUAGAAAAUAUUUUAAAUAUUUUAACAUUUAAAAAAACUUUUUAACCUUUAUUUUCAAAAAUCUAAAAUUUAAACUUUUACUAGUAAAGGCAAAAUAAUUUAUUUAAACUUCAAAAGCUUUAUUAGAAAAAUAAUCAAACAAUAACAAAAAUUAUUAUAAAAGCUUAUCGAAUUAAAUAAGUACUUAUAGUUAUUAAAGAAGUUAUAUCUAACAGACACUAAUGCCGAAAGCCCCUUCUAAUUGUGGGUGUAAAAGUUUGAAUUAUGCAUACGGUUAAGGAGUUAAGGUGUGUUUGGCAACUGCAUUAAGUGGAAAUUUUUAUUUUGUUUCGAAUAAAAAUACAGCAAGCUCGUGUUCGGCUCAAAAUAAUGGAACGUUUAAUUUGCAACCGUCGGCGGACGAAGCACACCGUUCACGGCCCUUCGUAUAAAAUUGCAUAUGUAAACGUAAAUAGGUCCGGAUUCAGAUUCGUUGCUGUAGAGAGUGGCACGCACGAUCGGGCUGCUGUCGGUGGUAGGUUGGCAUUGGAAUUCUCAUCACGCGCUUCCCCAGGCGCCUACUUAUGGCAAAUUGACACGUGACGCGUGUGGAUUGAAUGGACAGAGUCCCGGGCAGUGUGUCCAAAGCUGCCAACCGUGCUCUGAUUUUUGUCAUCCAUAAUGGCUAACGACUAACGAGGGAGAUUUCCGGGCAGAAAGAAAUUGUUGUCGUUUCUGAAGGGGAAAAAAAAGUUAUUUAAUUUGUUGUUGAAGACAAAAUGAAGAUCUAAAUAAAUAAUGGCUAAUUUUGAGUGUAAAGCAACGGUAAAUGCAUUAUUAAAUUAGAUUUAGGGUCUGAUUGAGAUUAUUUUUAGAUUUAAAAUUAAUUUUGAAAAGUUAAAAUUAAUUUUGAUGUUUAUUAAUUUUUAUUAAAAAUUAUUUUUGUCAAAAUCUCUCAUCCUCCAGCAUAUUAUAAAAAAUAAGGAAGAAAUAAUUUUUUAAAAUUUAAUUUUAAGAAUCAGUUUUAUACUUAAUAUAAUCCACAUAUAUCCUCGUAAAUAUUAUAAAAAUUUAAAAUUAUUCUUAUUUAUUUAGGAUAUAAAAUUAUUAAAUUCAAACAUAUUAUUAUUAUUAUUAUUAUUGUUAUUAUUAUUAUUAUUAUUAUAAAUUCACACACGCACACACAUACUUAUAAAUUUAUAAAUAAACUUUAUUUAACAUUUUGUUCACUUAAAUCAUUUAUAUUCUUAUAGCAGUUUAACAUUAUGAUUUACCAAACACAGAUAAUUAUUUUUAAAAUCCAUAAUAUUUUUUAAAAUAAAUUUUAAUAAAUGUUUAACUUAUUAUUCUGACAACUGAUUUUUUUUGUAAGGUAUAACCAUUAAUAAUAAAUAUUUUAAAAGUUACAGUAUCCCCAAAUUGGCCCUUACUAAUACUCUGCGUUGCCAACUAAAUACUAAUUGUAACAUUAAACAUCUGGAAUAUUUUUCUCUAACGAAACAACACAAUUAAUUUCCCUCUAAAAAAGAAAAAGAAAAAGAAAAAAUAAACUACCAACCCCACCCCUUUAGACAGCAGAGUUUUAGCUGAGGCGGCUUGCUUGCAUAAGCAUUAAGGCUGCUCUUCACCAACCAUUGAACAUUCUUUCCAUUUGAUUGUUACACUUUACUUCGCCAUCUCAUGUCCAUGUACAUUGUUUUGAAAUGAAGACUUUGCGUACAACUAAUCUUUUUCAAUUCAUAAUAAAAACUCUUUUAAUUAGUUAAUAGCUAUAGCUUCCAAUUGAGACUAUAUAUAAAAAUCCAUAUUGACUGACCAAACCAAUAAUUUUUAAUUGGCUUGAGCAUUGUCUUACUUACUUCAAAAUCGUCACUCUCUUUGAAAAGAACAUGAGAGAGUUCACCUCCAUCUCAACCCUUAACCCUAUAUCUCAGUCAAGAGAUUAUUCAUGGAAAAUUCAGAAAAAAGAAAUGUUGCAAUAUUUACGAAACUCACGUCACGUGAGGUAAGAUAAAUUAUUCCUUUCUGCUUUAAUUCAUGUACAUAAUCAUGAGAAUAACUUUAAUUAUAGUUUAUUUCUCCGUUUUAAGAUUUUUCCUUUUUUUUUUUUAAUUAAUUAAUUAUAGUUCAUUCAUUAAUCCCAUAAGAAAUUAACACCUUUGCCGGUAAAGUCACACAUACAACAAUAUUUUAGAACAAAAGGGAAGAUCAUGCACGAUCAUGAUGUUUUAUUAUAUCUCUAGCAAUAUAAUUAUCUUAUAAUUAAUUAAAAACAAAACAGGUAAUUAAGCCAAAGUGGAUGGCAUGCAUCAAUCAUCAUGCAGAACACCUCCCCUUGUUUUAAAUAUAAAUAAAAGAAAUUUGUGCCCAGAAGACUUAAUUAAUACUUCUCGUUUCUGAAGUGCUCACAUGAUAUAUAGUCGGACGCAUUAUAUUUAAUUUCAUGAAUUAAUCGUACGGUUGUAUUUUGAGAGAGAGAGAGAGAGAGAGAGUGACUGAGUAAGAUAUGGCUUAAUUUAACCAAAUCUACGUAUAAAAUUUUAAAAUGAAUUUUUGAGUUUUAACUUAGGAAUUGUCUAUGAAUAAAAGUGUUAAUCAAAUAUUUCGUGUAAAAACAGUCAGCUGUAACAUUUUCGGUUGCUUUAACAAAACUGUAUAUUUCUGUAAUUUCCUAUAUGGGCCAAAAGGAACAUUUUUCUCAGAAAUUAAAAACUUAUGGUGAAAAAGAUAAGAAAACCAACAGGUUCAAAGGUGCGAGUAAACUGGGCUCUGGUGCGCCCAACUCCCUCUUUUGAUUUUGAGACUCUAUUGACCAUUGAGUUUGAGGCCCCAACGGCCCAGUUUAAAACUGUUAUGAAAAGAAAAAAAAUAUAACUAUAAAAUUAAAAUUAAUAAUGUUUGAUAAAUAUAAUUUUUAAAUAAUAAUUUGACAAAAAUAAUAUAGGGUCUUGUGUAUAUUUUUAUUUGGCAUUUCAAUUAAUCUGCUUAUAUAUAUAUAUAUAUAAGUUAAUCUAUAUUUCUUGCAAGAAGAUAGUAUUUCUUUAAUUAAAGUCAUAACUAAUAUAUAAAUUAUCAACUAACCAUCAAACAUUUAUCUCAUUUUAUCUCCACCACGAUCAUCACCAUUCAUCCUGUCACGAUCUUUAUGUAACUACAAUUAUUUUUUCUUUAAUAAUGUCAACCCACCAACCCCAUAACAAUAUCUCCAAACAUCUCAUCUCAAAAUUCCUAAUAACAUAAGUGUUUAUGUAUGAAAGAAAAUGUGAAAUAUAUAAUCAAAAAGUAGUUUAAUAAUAUAAUGUUUAAAAAUUAUGGUAAAAAUAAGUGAGAGUUUGGCAUGGCAAGUUAAUAAAAAGAUAAAAGCUCGGACACUUGAUGCAUCAAAGUAGCAAUGUCUGUCCAUCAUUAUCAUCAUGCGGGUUUAGGUGCUUCUCAUGAUAGCAUUAGCUGGUAAGACCAUCAUGCAUCGUACUUUCAUUGUUAUACAUUUUGAAGGUAAGAAUGGUUAUGUUACGUCCCUCCGAUUAGGUGUAUUUUUCUUCUUCUUCUUCUUCUUUUUCUUCUUCUUGUACGUAAUAAUUUCUCUUUCUUCCAUGAAGAUUUCUUUCUCUCUUUCUUUUUUUUUUUUUUAUUAUAAAUAAAAUGAUAAGAACUAAUUUCCUUACUAAUUGGUAGGGUCGUUUAAUGGUUCAGAUCCAUUAGAUUUUGUCAAAUUCAAGUCCAAUCCAUCAUAUAUUCCAUUUUAUAUUCCGGAUCCGAUCACUAAUAGAAAUCCAUUAUAAUUUAAAACAAUAAAACGUCGAAUCCAAUUUAAUUCGAUAUGAUCAAUCCAAUUAAAAUAAAAAUUUACAAAUAAAAAUCAUUAGUUGCUCUCUCCAGUUAUAAUUCUUAACAAUUAAAAAAAAUACAAAAUAUCAACUCCUUUAAUAUUUCAUGAUUCAUGUACUUUAUUAUCAUAUGGUUGGAAAAAAAAGUUGAAAUUUGAAUAUUAAAAGCAAAUGUUGGUUGCGACCUGCUGUUUGUAUUCUAUAUUGUUAUAGUAUAUUUAUAGUUAUUUUUUUAGCAAGUUAAAUAUAAAAGUGACAUAUAGUUUUUUUUUAUAAAAAAAAAUAAAUAAAGAAAAUAAAAAAUUAAUUGGUUGGAUUGGUUUAUAUUGGAUUUGAACAUAUAGAUCCAUAGACCAAUCUAAUAACAUUAUAUUUUUUAUUUUGCAAUCUUAUCCAAUCCAAUCAAAAUGUCAAUAUGACAAAAGUUGGAUUGGUUUUGAUCAGAUCGAUUGGUUUGAUUGGAUUGAAUUGAAUUAGAUCUUGAACAUCCUACCAAUUAGACUUUCCGUGAUUUUUUUUUUUCCAAAUUUAAUAAAGAGACUUCCCAUGAAUGUUAAAUGCAGUUUUAUUGAUGAAUUCUGCAAUUUUAAGAAAUGUUUGAUACACGAAUAAUGCAUCUCAUCAACCAAGUAACUGCGUCCCCUGCAGCAGCCGCGGCUUCAACUGGAAUACUGCAGCCACACCGGUCUUGAGACUCAACAUUCGGCCGAAACUCAAGCAAAAGUUGAACAAUAUCAGGCCUGCUUUGAGCUAUAGCAAUAUGAAGCAAUGUUUGUCCCUGCGCACCAGCAGAAUCAGCUGGGUGGGUUCCAAGCAGGGUCACUCUGUUCAAGAACCUCUCUUAUCUCAUCCAUUUCACCAUCCUUAACUAGCUGAACCACAACAUGGGACCCAACAAACAUGAUCUUGAUUCCUAUUGAUGAACGCUGGCUUCUUCCUUCUUGUGAACCAGUCACCAGGAACCGAAUCAAGCAUCAAUGUUGCAUCUUUAAUUGCAGCUGCAGGAACGACAACGCUAUGCAAGAGGAAGGAAUCAUCACAGUGAGGGAAAGUAUGAAGGAGAACUGAUCCUGGAGGAAGAUGAUACGCAAUCUCUAUGCUUACUGUUCCGAGUGGUUGCAUUGACCUGAAUAGUUCGAUCUAUUUCUCGUGUAUCUACUUGCGCUGCACUUUCACUCGAAGAACCUACAAAAUUAUUCAUAACCCGGCAUAAAAAAGACGUAAAGUUUUCAGCGCGAGCAUGGUAACUUCAAAACCCGUUUCAUACCUAUCAUAUUUCAUUCGUCCCGCACCCUCAUUUAAAAGACUAGAGCUUAUAAAAACUAGAAGUACCUUACCCAGAACAUAAAAGCAGACAAAACCCAGUCGAGUAUAAAUAUAACGUUGAAUAACACCUACCAUUUACCAUUUCAUUCAAGAACACCACACAAUUAACGAAACCAACAUCGGUAUGUUUUCAGCCGUUGUACUUUCAACUUAAUUUUGAAAGCGCGGCAGCUAAAGCCUAAACUGUUGUUUGAUAAAAGUCCACCCACUGACUGCUACCUGGCGGCUACCGAUUCCAUUCAAUAGCAGUCAUAAAAUAAAAAGUACAAAACAAACCUAUGUACAAAAAAGGCAAUGAAGCAGCCAUGGAUUCAGUUAUUUGCAUGUUUGGGAUUGUGGUUGAUUCCAAAUUGAGAAUAUACUGCGAAAUUAUGUUUGAUAAGCAUUUAUCUGAUGAUUGCUACUUUAUUGAGUGCCUGUUUGGUAUGGCUUAUUUAAAAGCCAUAAGUGCUUAUUUAAUCGUAUAAGCACUUUUUUAAAAUUUUUAUGGUGUUUGGUUAUUUUUUUAGUAGAGUUUUUUUAGCUUAAAUAAGCUAAUUUACCUCUACUAGCAAAAGCCCAAAAUUUGAGCUUUUGGGAGUAGAGGUUAAAGAGCUUAUCUAAAAAAUAUAUAAUAAAAAAAAUAUCAUACAGUUUAAUGAUUCAAAAGUGUUUUUUUUAUUGACAACCAAACACCCAAUGACUUUUUGUCCAAAAACUCUAUUGGUAUAAGCUCUACUGCUAUAAGCUCUAUUGUUAUAAGCUCUAUUUAAUAAGCUGUACCAAACGGAGCCUAAAGCAUUCAUUUUUUUUUUUCGCGUUUGGCCUCUUCACUUUUUAAAAAAUUUUAUGGUGUUUGGUUAUUUUUUUAGUAGAGUUUUUUUAGCUUAAAUAAGCUAAUUUACCUCUACUAGCAAAAGCCCAAAAUUUGAGCUUUUGGGAGUAGAGGUUAAAGAGCUUAUCUAAAAAAUAUAUAAUAAAAAAAAUAUCAUACAGUUUAAUGAUUCAAAAGUGUUUUUUUUAUUGACAACCAAACACCCAAUGACUUUUUGUCCAAAAACUCUAUUGGUAUAAGCUCUAUUGUUAUAAGCUCUAUUUAAUAAGCUGUACCAAACGGAGCCUGAGUCUUCAAAGAAAAACUCAAUCAACUAAUGCUCGAUUUUUUUUUUUAAAUGACAAAUCAAAAAGUAUUUUGGAGUAGAUUCUCAAAAGAGUGAUUAUUUGAUAAUCCACCAUAAUCCCACUUAGUUAUCAGAAAUAAAUUAAAAUCCGACGAAUGUUACUUAAGCCAAACAGCAUUAUUUUAUUUUGACCACAAGGACCACAACCCUCAAGCUGUCAAGCAACCGUUACCGUUAACGACCAAUCUUUCACCUCUCCGAAUCUUUGCAAGUCACUAUCAAGCAACCGUUACUAAUAUUUAAUCAAUUAUUAGGAUUAUUGGAUUUCUCAAAUACCUUAUGUACUUUGGUUCACUUUCUACUAAAAUAAAUAUUACAGGAGCUUUCAAAGUCUAGGCUAAGGUUGUUGUAAACAUAGAGAGAUUCAGAGAUAUAACAGCUUGUAAUUACAUACCACAAAGCAUAACUUUGUUCGAAUGAUAAUGAUCAUAAUCCAGAUUAUAGACGUAGAGAGAGGAGAAGUCGUACUUGAGGGGCAAAACGCGGCGUUUUGGCUCGUGGAUGAGGUGCUGCUCCUGAUCGUCGUAGAUUGAAGGGAGGAGAGGUCGGUCGAGGAAGUUUAGGAGACGGUGGAGGCUGAAUUGGUGAAUUUCGAUGAAGACUGACGAAUCCAAUGGGGCUUGAGGGUUUGAUUUGCAAAGAUGAAAGAUAAGAGCAUUGUUUUGGUUUCUGUGCAAAAAAAAAAAAAAAAAACAUGACAAGCGUUGUUUUGGUUUUGGUUCUAAAAAGAUGAAAAUUUGACUGCAAUGGAUCCAUACGCAGUCGGUGUCAAAUAAGAGGAGAAACAAAUAUGUUAAUCACUCGCUCAAUCACUCAUGCGAAGUGCCUUUUUUUUCGUUGCUUUGGCUUCUGAGAAAUAUAUGCAUCAGAUAUUACAACUCUCGAGGAUAAUGCAUUUUGUUCCGGUUUUGACUGAUAUUUAGUGGCAUUUGAUAAACUGAUACCUCAGAACCUGGUAGAGAGUUUAUUAAAUACAAAGAGAACAAAAAUAUAUGACUAUAUAAGCUUUUACACGGUUGAAGAUCCGGUCAAAUUGGCUUUAGUUAGCAAGAUCAUUUAAAACUUUCAAAAAACGAAUGGUAUCAAAAAGCUCUGAGAAAAAGCGGAAAAAAGGCACCACAAAGAUCUUGCAAUUAUUAUCACAGCUUGAUAAGACAUGGAAAUGUAUCUUACAAAUUGGCCUUCCAAGCAUCAAAGAAUUGGGUGGCGACAACUCCCAUUCCUAGCUGCUACCGUGGCCAGUCCCUUCUAACUAAAAUGGGACAGGACCAAAAGCAAGGUCUCUCCCACUCUCCUUAUGUAUAUAAAAUUCCCUACAUUCGAAUAAAACUACAGAAAAAGAUUUGCACAUCAUCUUCUUUCACCUUAUUUUGCAAUCUUCAAGAGUUUGGAAGAUUUCAAAGCACUUGUUAGAAUGUAGCACUCCAUUAAGCAUUCUCACCUUCCCCACACCCCAAUGGACCUCCUUAAUCCUAUCGGCAGACCUACAAAUUCUGCUGCAACUCCAAUCAAAUAAAGCAACACAAUUGUUGCCUGCCUAAGCCUUCCACUCACAGCCUGCAAUGACAAGUUCAUGAUACAAAAUCAGAAACAUUAAUAAACAAAAAGAUAUUACCAUUACUUGCAGAGGGGGAUUUGUUGCAAUUAGUAAAUGCCAUACUUAUCACUUUCAUUGCAGAUAUCAUCAUCAUCAUAAUACUAGCAAUCCAGCACUAAUAGUCAGAAUAAUAAUAAUAGUAGCAUGAAUAAAGAAUUUCUGCAGAGUAAGCUCUAAAGAUGCCGAAAGUGUCAUCUAUUAUGUUAAUAAUAAAAAAGUCUAUCAAGAAUUCAAGGAAAGAAAACUCAUUAACAAAGAACUAAACUUUUUAAUAAUGUUUAAUAAACUACGUACCUAUGAUUUUCUAUUAUUAACAUAAAUGACACUACGUACAACUGAUUUUCGCUUUCUAAUGUUUCAAAUCAUACCGAGAAAUAUAACAAUUACCAAGUCAGUAAGUAGCACAAUUACUUAAUAAGACUUUGACUUGUCUAACCCAAAAUUGUACCCAAUUCUAUACUCUACCAUGAAAAGCUUAUGAAGCCGAACUUACUUUGACCAAACAGUACUAUUAGCUCAGUUAAAGGAAACCACAAUUGAACAAAGUUCAGCUGAAAUAACUGAACUAAAAAAACUUGAUAAAAUUAAAAGUAACUUAUAACAGUUUAGUAAAGAAGCAUACAAAACAUGAAGAUAAAUAAACAUAGGUCUAUUUUCUUGACACUACCAGGUCCUUUCCUUUUUUUUUUUUCAGAUAAGAUCUCGAUACUACCAAGUUUUGGAUUCAAAAUCACCAUAUUACAAUAAUAGUUGUGAUUCAUGGGAUACAAUAUGUAGCAGCUUAUAUGUCGGCAAUUAUAGUCAAAGAUGGUUGUCAAACAUCAUCGCAAAUCAAGAAGCUAAUAAAGACCAUGUCACACUACAUUAACAUAUAUCAGUUCUUUGAUACAAAGAUAUUGAAUGUUAUACAUUUCUAAUCCCAAGUCCUGAAAUACAAAACAAAAGUUCACUUCACACAGUCAUAAAGCUAGACUGCUAGAUAAAUGGACAAUAGGCAUUGGAUAUGGGUCAAUAAACUAUUAAGCUAAUUAAUGCACACGAAGGAAUCCGUUAGAGCUAGUAAAAUAGCCCUUACCAGAGAACUCGCAGAAGCAUUCAAUUUCCUCAAAGGAGAUAACUUACAACAUAAACAUUUUGAUAAGCAGCAACACACAUAAAAUAGCUUCACUCACUAGCAACAGAGCAACUUCUUCAACACAUUAAUAAAUCCAUUUUCAUUUUUAAACAACAAAAUAAUGCCCAGUUUCUCCAGCACAAAUAGGGUAAGCAGUAAUAGAAAAACAUGAUACAUAGGAAUUACCGGCCUCAAGAAAUCUCCAAGCUUUCUGUCCUCUGCUUCAAUUGCUCAAUCAAGAAUGCCCCAGACGUUGCGCUAGCGUGGUGGUGGAGCGUCGCGAAGCGUGUGGCGGCGGUGUCGGCGAAGGCAGGUCAUGAAGAUAGUUGGUGUCGCGCAGCGAAGGCAGUGCAGCUGGUGUCAUGCGGCGAAGGCAAAUCGCGUGGUGGUGGAGUUGGGGUCGCGCGGCAGUGGCGGUGCGGUGCUGAGGCAUAAUAGUGGCGGUGGCGUUGUGCGACAGUGGCAGUGUGGAGGCAGAUUGCGUGGAGCUGGCGGUGUUGAGGCAGAUCGCGUGGAGGCAGAUGCCGCGGUGGUGGAGUUGCUGUCGCGAUCAACGCCUGUGAAAGGGAAUGAAAGUGAAGGAGAUACCUACAAAAGAAAGAACGAGUGAAAUUUUUUUUUUUGUUCAAGGGUUUCAAACCCACAUAAACCCGACUCUCACACGGGUUCAGUAAGUUUAUGCGGGUUUGACUGCAUUACAAAUUGGUAUGACCACAACAACAGUACAAUGAUUGGUAAUUACCAAACAUGCUAUUUAUGUUGGUAUUAAAUUAAUUUAAUACAAUGAGGAGUGGUAAUAUCAUACAAUGAGGACUGUUAAAUAUGGUGUGUUUAAUAUGUUGUAUUGUAUUAUAUUAUUUUAAUACAAAUAUAUUAUAUUAUCUUGUAUUAUAAUAUAAAAUAAUGAAAAAUAUCGAAUUUCAAUAUAUAAAAAAAAAAUAAAUAUAUUUUGUUAUAUUCGAUCUGCUGUACGGCCAAGGCGGAUGUACGGUACAGCAGAUAAGAAUUUAAAUACAUACACUUAUAAUACAACUUAGUUUUUCCACAUUGUCGAGGGAUCAAAACAACCCAUCAUUGGAGUCCAAUAAGUUAUGUGGCGACACAAAAAAGUAAUUCUAUAUUUUUUACGUCAUAAAUAUGUAAAAAAAAUUGUAUUAUAUCUUAUUAUUAUUAGUUUUUUUUCUUCAGUUUUGACAAGUAUAGUUUUCUUGUUGAGUGGCUCAACAAGGCUGGUUACAAUUUCGAAAUAAUGUUCCAUCUGUAUCUGUUUUCCUUUUGUUUUUGAUUUUGUAGUAUAGUUAAUUUGUACGAAUUUGUUGCCUGGUUGGUUUUUAUGCUGAAAAGUCAGUUCAUUGGAAAUGACAGAAAAUUGUUUUUCUUUUUCAUUUUUACAGAAAGAGAUUUGCAACGUUAUAAAAGUAAGAGAUCCUAAGAGAUCCCUGAAUCAUAUUAAAUAUUAAACUUAAGAUACAGUCAAGGCUUUUAUUAUGUUACUAAUCAUGUAACGAAUAUAAUUAUGUAGCAGUCGUUAAAUACAAAUUUAACAGUUAUAAAAAUAACAUGAUUUUAUUAUCUUAUAUUUCUAUAAUCGUUGAAUUUUUAUCUGCUGUACCGUACAUCCGCCUUGGCCGUACAGCAGUAUUGAAUUUUAAAAAUUUAAUAUUAUUUUUUUAAUAUAAAUAUUAAAAAAUAUCAUAAUUCUUCAUAGAAAUCGAAGUUCAUGGCAUUAAAUUUUUAACGCCGCAUACAUAAUAAAAAAUUUGAUUCUCUAGUGCCAAUAUAAUAGAAUACAUAAAAACGAGACUGAGAAACUACGAAUAAAGCUCAUCAUCAAGGACUCCACAACAUUAUAAGAAGUACUAUGUAACAUUUGCCAAAUUACAACACCACAUCAAGACAUAUCACAAUGUAAAAUUUUUCCUAGAGAUUUGGUAAUUGAAAAACACAAUUCAAGUUGAAAACUGAUAGUCGACUUGAAAAGUUUUAACAUAUCCCAUAAAAGAAAUGUGCCAUGCCAAAAAUCCUAACCCUUGGCUCUUUGACGAUAAGAAAAUAUUGAAAAUUCCAAAGUACAGUGCAAUGGGAGAAAGAAUGCCUAUAAAGCUAGUAAAGAUAUUCUUAAACUACUAUUGGGAUGUUGGGCUGGUUGGUAGCAAAACCCAAACCCUGCUGCUGAUUUCCGAUACCACCAUCUUGGAUAAGCCGCUCUCCCUCCUCUUCCUAACUCCUAAGCCCAAUAUCUUUCCAAAACCUUCACAACCCACUCAUAAAUCUCAUUGUUGUCGUGGAUAUGCAAAUUCUCAAUCUUUUCUACUCCAUCACACUCAUCAAUCAUUUGGGUAUAAACAUUAACCCAAUUAUCCAUUCCUAUUUCCUUGUUAACCUCACCCACCUUGAAAAUGUUCUCAAGACCCUAUAGACAAACUGUGACGAUCCUUUGGUCCAGACAAACCAGAAGAUCACAGAGCGGUUUGAUGCAACCUUGGCUCACCAGGAAUCUGCAGGACCAUGGUACCAUAAGUGAUUCUAUCACAUGAACAUCAUUAGAUUAAAAAAAGAAAAAAAAAAGAAACAUCUAUCGUAUGAACAUUGCUGAGUGAAUAAAAGAAACAUACUGAAUAUGUUCAUGAGAUCCUCCAUAUGUGGCAUUUAAGACAGGCCAUGCAGCCUCCUUGAUUUCAAGUUCUGCAUGUUGAAGAAGAGGUGCACAAAAGGAAGGAUAAGGAAGGAUGAUAUUGGCCUCCAUAACAGCCUGUUGAACAAAAAUUCGACAAAUUAUAAUUAUGAGUAUAUUUAAGUAGCAAUUUUGUCAGAAUUAACUAGACUUGACUAUUGAGGAAGUCACAUUCAAAAAUAGAAAAGACGAGCAAGCAAUUGUAUUCAUGCUAUCGGGACCAAAAUACUAUGAUGCAAGCAAGAAAGAAAAACAUACAUACAUAUAAAACACUAUCUUUGAGUUGGGUAUUUUCUUUCAAUUUUGAUAAUGGCAACUUUGGAUUCUUCUGCUGAAUUACCACCACCACCACACCAUUGUAGUUUCACAUACUAAGAAAAGGCAGGUUCAGCUCCCGUGCAUGCCCAUAAGAAUAUGAUGUAUUAAUUAGAAGUAAAAUUAAUCUGUUCAAUUAAGUUCUCUCAUAUAUUUGUGUGCGUGUGUGUGUUAAUUAGUUUGCUUUCAAAUCUUUUCUCCCUUCUUAAUGAUAUAUAUUUUAAGCAUGAUAUCAACCACGAUGAAUUUAUUAGCCGAUUUUUAAUUAUACAUUCAGCAUGAUAUCACAAACCAAGAGCUUAAGUUAGCCUAAUUCUUCAUAAAUCUAAUAAUUGCAAUCAAUAAUAAUGCUGAAAAUACGAGUUUGAAUUAAGCUAGCAACUGGUUCUUAAAUUAUGCAAUAUGUAAUCAUAGGUUUACUUAAAGAUUAAAGCAUUUCUGCAAUCCAUUGUGCAAAAAGAUUAAAAAAAAAAAAAAUAGUUGCCAAAUUUUAUCUAAAUAAAAAUUCCUUUAGUGGUUAGUACUUGUGAAUUAUAGAAAUUAUUAUUAGUACUUGCUCAGCGCUUUUUAGAUUUGUACAGGUAGAUUACGCCAUUUCAAACCCGACCAUCCAUUUAGACAUACAAAUCCCCCCAAUUCCCUGUCCUCCGCCUUUACGCGACUCUCCACUGUAUGUGCCAACUAAUUAAUUUUUUAAUUACUUGUUUAACUAAUUAAUUCAUUUUCUCAAAAGCAAGAUUAAUCUAUUUGUUCAAAUCUGAAGGAGAUUAAGUUAAUUGAUUUUAUUGUAUGUAAAAAUAUACAAAGAACUCAUGAAGCCAACUAGAAAAAAAAAAAAAGACAAAAAAAAAAUCAAACCCAGAAAUAAAAAGACAUGCUUCGACAGAAAAUUAAUGAAAAUUAUACUGAUUGUGGUUCAAUUUGAUCAAACCCAAAUAAUAACCGGUUUGAUUGAUGACUCAGCGGCAAAGUGCAGGCGCAUCAGUGGUUGCACAGAUGAGUGUUCUCGUGCGGCACGACAAAGCAAUUGUCGGCGAUUGUGAUUGGUGAUGACAUCGAGCGAUGGGGGUAAUGGCAUCGGUCGUGACUUUGUGAUGGAGAAACGAAUGUUAGAUUCGUUCGAAGAUUCGUGUUUUGAUUGAAUAACAAAGAGAGAUUUUAUGAGUUUUAAUUAUCUAAUACGAUACCGCAUAAACCCGACUCGUACGUGGGUUUAUUUUAUGCGGGUUUCGGUGUACUAAAGCAGUAAAUUUAUGUGGUGCAAUUCAAACUGAUUUCACCGCCAAAAGAUCGUGUAAAUUUAAUAUUAUACAGGGUUUUAAUACUAUGUAAUCCAAUACACCAAACAUGCCCUUAAAAACGGAUAGCAAUCCGGGGCCUUUAAAAACGGAAAAUACAAGCAGAGAAAAAGAAAAGCCAAUUGUUCAAAAGUGCCUAAUAUGCCCACGGAAAAUUUUCGUCACGACCCACAGUUACUCGAAUAGGUAAUAAGACAGGAAUGCCUUUGUUUGUUCGAAUAUAGAAGCACAAUGGCUCAGAAAGGAUCCCUCCAAUCUCCUUGGCACUGUCAGCUGGGUGCGGAGUAGCUUGGUGGCAGCAACCAUGUUUGAGAGGGCUGGCUUCACCUCAGUGUACUUGCGAGUCUUGAGACCACAGUCAGGGUUAACCCACAAAAUGUUGGUUUCUAGCACAGUACGCAUCUCGUAGAUUCUGUCAACAAUUUCUUCGGUUGAUGGUAUUCUUGGAGAGUGGAUGUCAUAGACGCCAGGGCCAAUUGCAGCAUCAUACUGGACUCCCUCACGGAAGACUGACAGGAGAUUCUCAUUAGAACGAGAGUUCUCAAUGGUGAUCACAUCAGCAUCCAUGUCGAUAAUUGAGUGGAUAAUGUCGUUGAAGUUGGAGUAGCACAUGUGGGUGUGGAUCUGUCAAUCAAUAAACAAUAGAAUGAGAUACAAAAUCAACAGCUAAAUUAAAGAGAUGAGAUUGGAGAUUAAAAGGGUAACUGACCUGGGUAGUGUCCUGGAUGCCACAGUUGGUGAUUCUGAAGGAGUGGACUGCCCAGUCCAAGUAGAAAGCAUGCUCAGAUUUCCUGAGAGGCAAUCCUUCCCUCAAGGCAGCCUCAUCAAUUUGAAUAACGUUAAUGCCUGCCUUCUCAAGAUCCUCGACUUCGUCCUUGAUGGCCAAAGCAAUCUGGUAGCAGGUUUCAUGUCUGCAAAAUUGGCAGCGAUUGAUGUUAAACAAUGUUUCCAUUCCAAAAGGUUAACCAAUAGUGAACCAGUUCUCAUUUAUAUACCUGGGCUGGUCAUUUCUGACAAAGGACCAGUUGAGAAUGGUGACAGGGCCAGUAAGCAUUCCCUUCAUUGGGCGAGCAGUCAUGCUCUGAGCCCAGGAGGACCAGAAGACGGUCAUAGCCUUGGGACGGCUCACAUCACCAUAGAUGAUGGGUGGCUUCACACAGCGAGAUCCAUAGGAUUGCACCCACCCAUUGGCAGUGAAGGCGAAACCUGAUAACUGCUCUCCAAAGUACUCAACCAUGUCGUUUCUCUACAAAAACAAAUGUCCGAAUUCAAUUUGAGAUCCAGCAUACUUCGUAUGCAAUUAGAAAUGCAGAAACAAAAAUGUAUAAAAUUUUAUGUAAUUCAAAACCAGGAGACAUUGCUUUGCUUCCAUUGGGCAUUGCGAGACUCACCUCAGGCUCUCCAUGGACAAGGACAUCAAUAUCAAGCUCUUCUUGGAGUUUGACAACCUUGUUGAUUUCCUCCUUGAUGGAAGCAACAUAUUCUUCCUCAGAAAUCCUAAAAAGGACAAAUAGUCACGGCACAGUUAAUACAGUAGUUGCAGUAAUUUCACACAUGGCAUUGAAUGAAGAAACACCUCAGAUUGACUCACUUCUUAGCCUUGUAUUCACGGCGGACUCUCCUAAGUUCAAUGGUUUGUGGGAAGGAUCCAAUUGUGGUGGUUGGGAGGAUUGGAAGAUUGAGCUUCUUCUGUUGAGCAUCUAAUCUAGCACUAACGUUUGUAGCACGUCUGUGGUCUGAUCCCCUCAAAGCAGCAGCCUAAUAGACCAAGAGGAAGGAAUCACUGUUAGCAAAAAAGGAAAUUCUAAGGGACAGCCACAUCAUAAAAAUGGAAAACAAAUCAAUCAUGCCACUUACAGCCUUUUGAACUGCCUCAUUGGUCACUCUCGGGGAGGACUUUCUUGAAGCCUGAGCUGCAGCAUUGGCAGAGAAGAAUCCCUGGAAACAAAUGAUAAGGAGAACCAAAGUUAGUCUCAUUCAUAUCAUUUUAAAAAGAAGAUACAUAUGCAAUUAGUGGGCUGAUUGUGAGAGAAAAAGUCCCCAAAACUUUAAUCAAACACCAAAUGCCCAAGUUGCCAAAUGAUGUUUAAUUCGGAAAAAUAUAUUUAAAAACAUUCAAAUAUAAUUUCCCCUUCUAAAUUUUCAUUUUCAACAACAUAUUUUACAAGCCAAGCUCAACGUCAGGCCAAGAUUUUGUGCUCCUAUAAUUAUAUUUUACCAUAAAACUAGGUCCUUGAAAGGCUAAGAUUUUCUGACUCUUGUGACUAGUCAAAGCCUAAGAUUCUUUCAAUUCAUCCGUAGUAAAAGUAUACCUCAUCCUUUUGGCCAGCCAAAGCCUUGGCCAAUGCAUUGACUUCAACAACUUUCUGGGCAGCAAAUGCCAGCCAUGACUUGAUUUCGUCGUCGAGUUUGUUCUCAUUAACAAGAUCAACAGCAGUGUGAAGAAGUGAGCAGGAGGUGGAGACCACAAGCUUGUCUGCAAAGAAAAGUAAUAAAUUAUACAACAAAUCCCAUAAUAGAAUAAGAAAUAUUUAUCACAAAGAAAAAUGCAAGCAAAGGAUGUAUACCUUUGCCAACAACACCCUCAAGCCCCCGGAGAACACUAAGAGAAGCAGCAAGAUCAUUGGCCCAAAUGUUCCUUCCAUCAACCACUCCAGCAAAGAGGUACUUGCCAGCAGGGAAUCCACUCUUGAUCAAUUCAAGGGUCUUGGUUCCACGAACCAAAUCAAAUCCAUAAGCGGUGACACCCUUCAAAGAAGUGAGGGUCUGGAAUGCCUCAGCUGGAACAUCAGCAAAGUAGGUCUCAACAAGAACAUUCAAGCCAGACAGAGUUGACUCUAGUUCCGCGUAAGCCUCACUGAAUGCUUGCAAUUUGUGUGAGUCAAGAUCCGUAACAAGCAAUGGCUCAUCAAACUGAAUCCAGGAAGCACCAGCAGCCUUAAGCUCAGAAACAACUUCCCUGCAGAAGUGUUAAUUGGUACGACACGGAUUAAUGAUGCCACACGAUACACACACACACACACACACACACACACACACACACACACACACACACACACACACACACACACACACACACACACACACACACACACACACACACACACACACACACACACACACACAGACAGAGUUAUUUAGCACAUACACGUUUAUAAAUCUGUAAAUAGGUGAUAAUUCUUACUUGUAGAUCGGAAGGAUUUUGGGAAGAAGAGAGAGAACAGAAAAGGUCUUCUCAACCCCCCAGGCAGGCUUAGACAGCAACAAGUAUGACACAGGGCCAAUAAGCACUGGGACAGUUUCAACUCCAUGCUGCAGCAUUAGACAAGUGGUAGAUAUUAGCAUCUCACAAACUUGAUCUGACUGAUAGAAAGUUACAAGCAAGUUAAGAAUAUGUUUGAUGAAAUUUCAAUGAAAAAUCUUCAGGGUCCACAACAUGUUGACUAUACCCUUUUUAAGUAAUUUAUCUUAAGACUAUUUUGCAAACAGUAUUGCUUCCCUUUACAGAUCAAAUAAAUCAUACAACAUCUGAACGCAUUUCCUGAGCCAAAUAUAAGUUCAAAGCUCUAUAAUAAAUGUCAAUGACUCUAUAGUAAAUUCCAUCACAUUCUGAGCUAUGGAUGAGCAUAUCAUAUGCCAAUUUCAAGUUGAACGUAACCCAAUUUCAACAUAUUGUAGAUUCAAGUAUCAAACGAAAAAAAAAAUAUUGUAAAUAUAGACAGAACUGAGAACAAACACUCACCCCCUUAGCCUCCUUGUACUCAGUCACAGCCUUGUGGGAAGCGUAGGAGAACUUAACAUCGGGUCCCAAUUCAGGAACAAUGAAAUGACUGCAUCAACACGAAGCCAAACACACGUCAGCAUUCAGUACAAAACCAUUACACCAUAACUAACUUGAAAUGCCGCUCUUCCAAGUAGUGAAUACUUACUAGUUGGUGUCGAACCACUUGGUCAUUUCCAUUGCGAGAACAGAGGCGUUUCCUCUGGCCAUGGAGAAGUAAACAUCGAAUCCAAUCUCGCCGCCGUUCCAGUUAAACCUCGGGGGCACGGCACCGAGCAUUGCGGUGGUGUCGAGCACUUGGUCGUAGUAGGAGAAAGUGUUGCUGGGAAUGUAUUUGAUCCCGGCCUCGGACAUCUGUUUCCAGAUGGAGGAUCUGAGAUCAGCGGACACCUUUUGCAAAUCCUCGGCGCUGCUCUUGCCAUCCCAGAAGGAUUCCAACGCGAACUUGAGCUCCCUCUUGGGGCCCAUGCGUGGGUAACCAACGAUGUGAGAUGCCAUUUUACUGUCAUAAUCACGUCAUCAAUGAAUCGAAAAUCAGUCCCUUCCAUUAAAUCAAGAAAUUAUUAAUUCAAAUGAAUGGAUCACAUUGUAUAUAUAUGGGAUAAAUAUAAUUAUGAACAAAAGCGUCUAAUCAAUCACAAAAAGCAAGCGACUGCAUCAAAUUUAGGGAUCCGACCCGACCCGACCCGAUCUGUAAAUUCCGGUUUCAAUCGGAUUAAGAUGAAACCUCUAACCCGAUAUAGUUGGAUUUUGGCCAACUCGAUCGGAUCAGAUCGGAUCGGAUUAAACUUAGUCCAAUCCGAAAAAUUCAAAAAAUCAAAACUACAAUAAGUAUAAAUCUAAAUUUUCAAUUCAAUUUGAUCUAAUCUGAAUAUAUUCGAAUCGGAUCAAAUACUAUGCUCUGCUUAAACUUGGAUUAUAUUUUUUUCAAUUUGAUUAACCUAAAAUUCGAUUGGAUAGAUCCAAAACUGAAUUUAUCUACCCCUCAGUCAUCAAUCAAUUACAAAACCUAAAAUCCGAUUGGAUAGAUCCGAAACUGAAUUUAUCCACCCUUAAGUCAUCAAUCAAUUACAAAGGCGACUGAUGUUUAUACAAUGGACAAUUAUUAAGUUACAGCUCUUGUAAUUUACAACUUAUACAAAAAUAUGUGAAAAAUUGUGAUAGGCAGUACAGUGUCAUGAUUUUAUACAAAAAUAUGUAAACAAUUGUGAUAGACGGUAGAACCUCAUGAUUUUAUAAAAAAUACGUAAAAAGUUGGGAUAAGUAAUGGAGCCCGCAUAAUUUUUUAUCAGCUGCAAGUUGCAAGUUACAGCAACUGUAACUUAGCGACCCCGACUUCAAUGUAAAAUGAGAAAGUACUCCUCCGCAUAGUACCUGAUGCUCAAAAGUCAAAUCACACGAAAUGCAAAUAGACUUAUCAGAGCAUAAAACCUUAUAUUACUUUUUGAAAAACGAUUUGAAACAAGGGCAAAAUUACAGUGUAACCGUACUUAGUCAUUGAAUUCAGCUCACAAUUAUCAUUAUAGUUAGAUCUAAUAACUAGAUCCAACUGUAUCCACAGUUAUAUUGUAGUUAGAUCUGAUAACUAAAUCCAGAUCCAGCUGUCCCCACAAUUGUCAUUAUAGUUAGAUCUAAUAAUUAGAUUCGGCUGAUUCAGCUGUGAUGUAGUACCCUGUAGUGCCAUAACUGGACAAAGAAACAAACUGAUAUAUUUUCUUUUUUGAAACAAACUGAUACUAAUCCAAGAGUUUCAGAUGAUCGGUUUUUUUUUUUUUUUCUAUAGUCACAUCAAUAAUUAAGUACUUUCAGUCAUUUUCGAAGGAUUAAAACGAAAACUCUAAAAAAAUUCUGAGAAUGAAGAAUCCGAAAAUAGAUUCAGAAAUAGUAACACAAGUAGAGGUCAGAUUGUUUUUUGGAAAAGAUUAAUUGCAGAUCUGAUGAACUCAAGUCUAGAUCUAGCAAAAUCACGGCAGCCAAACACUAGAUCUAAGACUAACAGUCACUCACCAGUCGAUCAGAAAGUGAAAUCAAGUUCAAAAUUCUUUUUUUUUAAUAGAUCCAAAAGCUAAUAUACAUAUAUAUAUGGCAAAAUAUAUAUACCGUACCCGAGAAGGACGAGCAGAGAAAUUAAGCUUUUUUCGAGAGAACGAGAAAGAAGAGAGACGAGACUGUUAGAAAUUGCUGUCAGUUUAAUUUUUAUUUAUAGCCAAAAACCUAACCUUGUUUAGUGGUUACUGGUUACCGUCUUCGGCGGUGUUGAUCUGAGAUUUAUCAUUUUAAUUUCUUUCUCUUACUUAUUUAUUUAAUUUGGGUCCAACUACGGUGAAACUGUAGUACCGUGCUACAGUUAUUUUCAACCGUUUGAUUCACUUGGAUGGUGGGAUCCAAUAAAAUCCAAUAACUGGGUGCAACCGUAGCACGGUGCCGCAGUUGCACCACAGUUUUUCCCAUUUAUUUAUUAUGCUUUCAGUGCAGUUGGCAAAAACAUGGAGCUUACGCGCGCUUUUCUGAUGUGGCGCGUGAAUUGGAAAUGUGGUAGAUCUUUGUGGAUCCGCCGGUGCAGUGAAGAGUGAAGGAAAAAAGAGAAAAGUUAUCAUGCCAGAUCAUUUGAAGAGAGCCGCAAUUAGUAAUUACACCACAAUAUAUUUCUGAUUAUUUGCUUACUUUGAUGAUGUUUUUACUGAUUAGUAAUUGGAAUAUGUUAGAAUCUAAAUAUAGUAGAAUCAUAAUAGAGUUGAAUCAAAAUAGACUAUAAUUAGAAUGGAUAAUGGGAAUUAGAAGAAUUAUUUGCUUUAGUUGUGAGAAUCCAAAUUGGAAUGAACUAUAUUGUCGUUGAUAUGUUUACUUUAUCAUAGAAUAUGAAUGAAUUAUUACAAGUUACUAAACAGACCUUAAGUUGAUUAUUGUCAUUAUUUAUUUAUUUAUUAUUAUUAUUAUUAUUAUCAUCAUCAUCAUCAUCAAAAUUAUUAAUCUUAUUAUUAAUGUUAAUUAUAAUAAUUAAUAAUUAUAAUAGUAUUAUAAUAAUAAUAAUAAUAAAAGCAAUCAUAAAAUGAGAAUUUCAAGAUUUAAGUAGAGAUAAUAUAAUUAUUUUAGAAAAUGAGAAUUUCCAUGAGAAUGUGAACUCUAUUAAUCAUUCCCAAUUUGAAGUGGGGCCUGCCAUUUUGAUUCAAUCUCUCAUUUAAGCAAGUAAAUACGACAUUUAUUCUCAUUCCCUCAUUCCCACUCUCAGGUAGCGUUUGUUUUUUAACUUAAUGACUUAAAGUGACUUAACUUAAUUAAUUAAGUUAAUUAGAGGUGUUUAUUUUUAUAACUUAAUGAGACUUUUUAGAUAAUUUUGACUUAAUAAAAUGAGCCAAUUUUUUUUGGCUUUUUACUUAAUGGAGAAAUUUGAAUUUAGUCAAUUACUUACUAAUGUCAAAAAUAUCUAUGUUUUAUAAUUUAUUUUUCAUGUCUAUCCCAAAACUCACCCAUAGACAUUUACCCCACAUAAAAAUAUCCCUAUUUUUUCUUUCUUAUAUUAUAUACGAUAAAAUUUGAAAUUUAUGGUAUUUUAUAUAUUAAAAUUCUAAAAUAAUUAUGUAUUCACUUGAAUAUAGUUUUACUUAUAACUGUUAAAAUAUUGUGGUAUUUAAUAUAUUAUUUAUUUGACAUUAAAAUUUAAUAAGGAUACAAAUGUAAAAGUACAUAUUUUCAGUUUUUUCAGUUAAAAAAAAAGCAACUUAAUACUUAUUUUUCGAGAUUCAGACGAAAAAAUAAACAUAUUAUUCAUAUUCAGACAUUUAGAUAUAUUCAGAAUUCAAACUAAUUCAGGUCUAUUCAGAUUUUAGACAAAAAAAACAAACGCCACCUCAAUCAAUAAACACACCAUAAAUGUAGAGUUGUUACUAUUAGAAUACAUUAUAAUUCAUCACAAUUAUGAUAGGUAUAUACGUGUGUAAUAAUUUAUAUAAGAUGCUAAAUUUUGAAAAUAAUAAAAAAUCAUUUAUACAUAUUUAAAAAAAUCAUUAAUACAUUAAAAUGUGCAUCACAUAUACAUUUACAUAAUAGCAAUGACCAUAGUAUAAAAAAAACUCCUAAAAGAGAACGACUUCGUUAUUUAUGUUAUUUUAUAUAUUUUUAAUUGAUUAUUAAAAGGAUCAAUUGUUAAUUAUUAUUCUCCAAACAUAAUCACCGUUAAACAUUUAUUCAAUUUAACAAUAGGUAGAUGUUAAAUAAUAUUGGAAUAUUUAAUGAACAAUAUAAUCACUAUUGCAGUUGUUUUUUUUUUUUAGUAAUGGAUUAUUCGAAACUCAAAUUCAUUUUUUAGCCCCCUUACCUCUCUUAAAAUUCAAAUUUAAGUGACUAAACAAAUAAAACUGCUUAAAAUCUAUACGACUACAUCUUUGGGGACCAAUUAAUAUGGAUGUUUAAAUCUUGAUUUAUUAUUAAAUCUUUGAGUUUCAACCACUAAUAACAUCAUCAUCGAUUAAUGACAAAUAAAAUAAUACAUCAUCAAAACCAUUAAACACGUCCAUCAAUAUCAAAAACAAGUAAAAAGUUUAGCAUGUAUUUCAAAUAUACUUUUCAUCCCAAAAGUUGUAGAGAAAGUCUCGAUAUCAAUGUCACUAUGAGACGUAAUUUUAUAUUUAAAGUCAGCGCAACUUAAAAAUUACUAUGAAUGAAUAAUACACCAUAAAAAAAUUAUUUAUAAGUAUUUUCAUCAUGUAUUUUUAUUUAACAAUGGUGACAUUUAUUUUUUAACUUAAUGACUUAAAGUGGCUUAACUUAAUUAAUUAAGUUAAUUUUAGGUGUUUGUUUUUAUAACUUAAUAGGACAUUUUAGAUAAUUUUGACUUAAUAAAAUAGGCCAAUUUUUUUUAACUUUUUACUUAAUAGAGAAAUUUGAAUUAAGUCAGUUACUUUCUAAUGUAAAAAAAUAUUCCUACUUUAUAAUUUAUUUUUCAUGCAUAUUCAAAAACUCACCCAUAGAUAUUUACCCCACAUAAUCUCAUCUUUAUUUUCUUCCAGCCGUCAUGGAAUCCCUCCUCACUUUGCUUCUCUCCUCUAGUUCUUGAAUCUCCCUUUAAUUUCUCGCUAGGCAAAGCACUUGAAUUGGGCUUUUUUUUUUUCCUUUUCAAUUACGUUUUCCAACAUUCACUUAUAUAAUAAUCAACUAGUUGCUACUCUUUUUAGUGAUAAAAUUUGAAAUAUGGUAUUUUAUAUAUUAAAUUUUCAAAAUUAUGUAUUCACUUAAAUGUAGUUUUACUUAUAAAUAUUAAAAUAUUAUGUUAUUUAAUAUAUUAUUUAUUUGACAUUCAAAUUUAAUAAGGAUAUAAAUGUAAAAGUACAUAUUUUUAAUUUUUUAAGUUGAAAAAAUAACUUAAUAUUUAUUUUCAGAUAUUCAAAUAAAAAAUAUAUUAUUUAAAUUCAAAAAUUUAAAUCUAUUCAAAAUUUAAAGUAAUUCAGGUCUAUGCAUAUUUCAAUCAUAAAAACAAAUGCCACAUGAGUCAUUCAAUUUCUAAUUAAGAGGAUAAAAAAUAGAUUUGGACUAUCCUAAGACAAAAACAAAAAAAAAAACAAAAAUAAGAUUUCCUAAUAAGUGUACUAACGUGGUCACGCGCCUUGAGAAACGCUUGGACCUAACACACUAUUUUAAUCCGAUAUGCAAAAAAAGAAAAAAAAAAAAAAGGAAAAAUUAUGAGAUGUAUAAGUUUCUAGAGACGUGUUAAAUUUUGAUGAAACAAUGAAGAAAGUCGGUGGCCGAAGUUGGUAUGGGGCAAUGCGAAUGGUGGUUGGCCCACGUUGCCCUGUAAUUGGAGUUGUUAUAAUUUUUCUUAUAAUUAAUAGGACUUGACACAGACUGCAGCAUCAGCCGUUGGAUGUGGAGGGAGAAACUAAACAAUAGAAAACCGUAUGGUGGGAUGACGGUAGAUGUUUGUUACAGAAACUGUACCAUAGACAGGUCCUAAUUAAUAAGCUCUACGUUUUGAAACAAUAAAUAAACUCCAGAUGACCAAAAUAUCAUUUCAUACUGCUACCUAGACAUCUUGGCGAGGGUGGGUAAUGUGGGGCCCGGAGCUUGUUUGAUCGUCAAUUAUUCUCUGGUUUGGUGAAACGAAUGGACGGACGAUGGUGAUGGCUUUUAGGAGAUUAGUAUUAUUAUUAUUAUUAUUAUUAUUACAUUGAGAUCGUAAAACAAAAAAUUCAAUUAAUAAUAUAAAAUAUUUAUUUAAUUUAUUAAUUAUUAUAUAUACACAAUAAAAAAAUUUAUAUACAUAUUUAUAAAUGUGUAAAUAAAUUUCAUUCAAUAUUAUAUCCAAUUAAUCAUUUAUAUUUUUCUGCUGUACCGUACAUCCGCCUUGGCCGUACAGCAGUAAAGCUGCUGAUGCUUUAUCGCGAAUUCAUGAGGAAAAUGUGAUUGAAGAACCCAAACCAACAACUCUUUGUUUGUCGUUAGACAUUUACCCCACAUAAAAAUAUCCCUAUUUUUUCUUUCUUAUAUUAUAUACGAUAAAAUUUGAAAUUUAUGGUAUUUUAUAUAUUAAAAUUCUAAAAUAAUUAUGUAUUCACUUGAAUAUAGUUUUACUUAUAACUGUUAAAAUAUUGUGGUAUUUAAUAUAUUAUUUAUUUGACAUUAAAAUUUAAUAAGGAUACAAAUGUAAAAGUACAUAUUUUCAGUUUUUUCAGUUAAAAAAAAAGCAACUUAAUACUUAUUUUUCGAGAUUCAGACGAAAAAAUAAACAUAUUAUUCAUAUUCAGACAUUUAGAUAUAUUCAGAAUUCAAACUAAUUCAGGUCUAUUCAGAUUUUAGACAAAAAAAACAAACGCCACCUCAAUCAAUAAACACACCAUAAAUGUAGAGUUGUUACUAUUAGAAUACAUUAUAAUUCAUCACAAUUAUGAUAGGUAUAUACGUGUGUAAUAAUUUAUAUAAGAUGCUAAAUUUUGAAAAUAAUAAAAAAUCAUUUAUACAUAUUUAAAAAAAUCAUUAAUACAUUAAAAUGUGCAUCACAUAUACAUUUACAUAAUAGCAAUGACCAUAGUAUAAAAAAAACUCCUAAAAGAGAACGACUUCGUUAUUUAUGUUAUUUUAUAUAUUUUUAAUUGAUUAUUAAAAGGAUCAAUUGUUAAUUAUUAUUCUCCAAACAUAAUCACCGUUAAACAUUUAUUCAAUUUAACAAUAGGUAGAUGUUAAAUAAUAUUGGAAUAUUUAAUGAACAAUAUAAUCACUAUUGCAGUUGUUUUUUUUUUUUAGUAAUGGAUUAUUCGAAACUCAAAUUCAUUUUUUAGCCCCCUUACCUCUCUUAAAAUUCAAAUUUAAGUGACUAAACAAAUAAAACUGCUUAAAAUCUAUACGACUACAUCUUUGGGGACCAAUUAAUAUGGAUGUUUAAAUCUUGAUUUAUUAUUAAAUCUUUGAGUUUCAACCACUAAUAACAUCAUCAUCGAUUAAUGACAAAUAAAAUAAUACAUCAUCAAAACCAUUAAACACGUCCAUCAAUAUCAAAAACAAGUAAAAAGUUUAGCAUGUAUUUCAAAUAUACUUUUCAUCCCAAAAGUUGUAGAGAAAGUCUCGAUAUCAAUGUCACUAUGAGACGUAAUUUUAUAUUUAAAGUCAGCGCAACUUAAAAAUUACUAUGAAUGAAUAAUACACCAUAAAAAAAUUAUUUAUAAGUAUUUUCAUCAUGUAUUUUUAUUUAACAAUGGUGACAUUUAUUUUUUAACUUAAUGACUUAAAGUGGCUUAACUUAAUUAAUUAAGUUAAUUUUAGGUGUUUGUUUUUAUAACUUAAUAGGACAUUUUAGAUAAUUUUGACUUAAUAAAAUAGGCCAAUUUUUUUUAACUUUUUACUUAAUAGAGAAAUUUGAAUUAAGUCAGUUACUUUCUAAUGUAAAAAAAUAUUCCUACUUUAUAAUUUAUUUUUCAUGCAUAUUCAAAAACUCACCCAUAGAUAUUUACCCCACAUAAUCUCAUCUUUAUUUUCUUCCAGCCGUCAUGGAAUCCCUCCUCACUUUGCUUCUCUCCUCUAGUUCUUGAAUCUCCCUUUAAUUUCUCGCUAGGCAAAGCACUUGAAUUGGGCUUUUUUUUUUUUCCUUUUCAAUUACGUUUUCCAACAUUCACUUAUAUAAUAAUCAACUAGUUGCUACUCUUUUUAGUGAUAAAAUUUGAAAUAUGGUAUUUUAUAUAUUAAAUUUUCAAAAUUAUGUAUUCACUUAAAUGUAGUUUUACUUAUAAAUAUUAAAAUAUUAUGUUAUUUAAUAUAUUAUUUAUUUGACAUUCAAAUUUAAUAAGGAUAUAAAUGUAAAAGUACAUAUUUUUAAUUUUUUAAGUUGAAAAAAUAACUUAAUAUUUAUUUUCAGAUAUUCAAAUAAAAAAUAUAUUAUUUAAAUUCAAAAAUUUAAAUCUAUUCAAAAUUUAAAGUAAUUCAGGUCUAUGCAUAUUUCAAUCAUAAAAACAAAUGCCACAUGAGUCAUUCAAUUUCUAAUUAAGAGGAUAAAAAAUAGAUUUGGACUAUCCUAAGACAAAAACAAAAAAAAAAACAAAAAUAAGAUUUCCUAAUAAGUGUACUAACGUGGUCACGCGCCUUGAGAAACGCUUGGACCUAACACACUAUUUUAAUCCGAUAUGCAAAAAAAGAAAAAAAAAAAAAAGGAAAAAUUAUGAGAUGUAUAAGUUUCUAGAGACGUGUUAAAUUUUGAUGAAACAAUGAAGAAAGUCGGUGGCCGAAGUUGGUAUGGGGCAAUGCGAAUGGUGGUUGGCCCACGUUGCCCUGUAAUUGGAGUUGUUAUAAUUUUUCUUAUAAUUAAUAGGACUUGACACAGACUGCAGCAUCAGCCGUUGGAUGUGGAGGGAGAAACUAAACAAUAGAAAACCGUAUGGUGGGAUGACGGUAGAUGUUUGUUACAGAAACUGUACCAUAGACAGGUCCUAAUUAAUAAGCUCUACGUUUUGAAACAAUAAAUAAACUCCAGAUGACCAAAAUAUCAUUUCAUACUGCUACCUAGACAUCUUGGCGAGGGUGGGUAAUGUGGGGCCCGGAGCUUGUUUGAUCGUCAAUUAUUCUCUGGUUUGGUGAAACGAAUGGACGGACGAUGGUGAUGGCUUUUAGGAGAUUAGUAUUAUUAUUAUUAUUAUUAUUAUUACAUUGAGAUCGUAAAACAAAAAAUUCAAUUAAUAAUAUAAAAUAUUUAUUUAAUUUAUUAAUUAUUAUAUAUACACAAUAAAAAAAUUUAUAUACAUAUUUAUAAAUGUGUAAAUAAAUUUCAUUCAAUAUUAUAUCCAAUUAAUCAUUUAUAUUUUUACAGCGGUUUAAUAAUAAUAUUUACUAAAUACAUAUGAUUAUUUUUAAAAUUCACAGUAUUUUUAAAAAUAAAUUUUAUAAAAUUUUUAACUAAUUUUCUUUACAACUAACUAUUGAACGGUUUAACUAAUAGUAAUUAUUUUUAAAAUUAUAGUAUUAUCAAAUUAGUCCUAUGUCAAAUUUGUUAUUGCUGUUUUUUUUUUAAUUAAAAAAUUACAUAGUGCAUACGUGCAUAAUAUGCCCAACUCAAAAAUUCACACAAAAUAUACUAUUUAACUUUAAGGCUUUAAUUGAAAAAAAAAAUUAAGAUUAAGAUGAAUAAAUACUAGAACAUAACAAAUAGAUAAACUCUCCCAUUCUUUAAAAAGAUUAAUUUUAUUUUAAACUUACACUUCGAAUUCAAAGUAGACAUUGAUUGAUAAAAUUAUACAAACGGAUCAAUAUUCCUACAUUUUCUUUUUAAUUUCAAAACCAACAGAUAUUGUUUGUUCAUUAUAUGACCUCCAAACAAAUAAUUUCAUUAAUAAAAUAAUAAUGAAAAGUGUCGUGAUGGGUAUAGAGUAAUUAGGUGGCUAAGUUUCUACUUUUCAUUCUAACUCUUGAGGUUGGUAGGCGCGUGGGUGGUCCACAAAACCCGUGGACGGUAGCAUUCAAACAAAGACUGGAGGCACCAGAAAAAUGUCCAAAAAGUGUGAAACCGUGACGUGUUCAACAUGUUAAUAAAUUUAGGCAAAUGUUAAAGUUACGGAGCUGGCUACGUUACAGAAACUGUACGUAACAGCCAUGCAUUUUUUAUUCGUUGGAUCUAGAGACUGAAAUUGGAUGGUUGGGAUUAAAGGCCAGAAUAGAAAUUAAUCACGGGCAACCGUUUUUAACAUUUAGAAGGGUUUAUUUUCAUGCACACCCAAAUAUUUUGACAAAUAUCAAUAUGCACCCAGUAACUUUUUAUGUAAAACCACAUAACCGACCCGUUAACUUUUCUACUAUUGAAUUAAAAAACUAUCAUGCCUCAAUUGAAUUAAAUUGAUCAGGUAAAAUAUCUUUUAUAACUUGUCAAUUUUUACAGUGAAAUAUACGAGUAUUUAGUAAAAUCAAAUUUAUUUUUUAUUCAGUAAUCAAAUUUUUUUAUUUAGUGAAAUCAAAAUUAUUUUUCUUUAGUUGUAAGAUUUUUUUAACAAAAAAAUUCUAAAAUCAGAUUUAACUCAUUUACUAUUUUAAAAAAUGAACUUUUUACUAACCAAACUAGAGUUUAUCUUUAGUCAACAUAUUUUUUUCUCUAAAAUAACCUUUGAUAGAAUUACUUAUAUAAACAUGUCAGUAUCAAAAUUACUUCAUAUUUUACCAUCCAUCAAUUUAAACUAGUGUGAAAUUUUUUUAGUUUGAUAUUGAAAAUAUGAUAGUUGAUGAGAGAAAUCUAAUUCAAAUUUACAGAUAGAAUAGUUUCUUAUAAUUGCGUACAUGGUAUAUCAAAAAUAUUUUUUUGUGAGUUUUUAAAAAAAUUGUGUCACAAGAUGAAAUUAUCUCUUGAUUUUUCAAUUCCUGGAAUUUAUGUAAAACAAUAAACACAAGUAAAUCUUUUGGUUUGUGACUUCUUGAAGGAAUGUUUGGGAACGCACAAGUUCCUCUCUCCUUCAAAAAGAAUGAUAAGUGCAAAUACCAACCUAGAAAAUUGAUUUAUAAUUCAAAGAAGAUUUGAUUGAAGAUGAUUAAUUGAAAUUUAUCUUUGCAUGAUGUCAAACAUUUUUCAAAAUGACUAAGUCAAGUCUCUUUGUUAAUUCAAAUCAAGAAAAAUUAGAAAAAUAUUAAUGCAUAGAAAUUCUACUAAGAGUUAUUUAUGAAAUUCUCAAACGAAUAGAAAUUAAAUUAACAUUUUUAAAUUUUAGUUAUGGGUUUAUUUUAAAAAUGGGUUUAGAAAGAAAUUUGAGGGGUUUAAAGAACCCCGCCCUUUCUUUAAUUAUUCGGUGAAUUUGAAAUAUAUUAAUAAGGUAUAAGAAUAUGUUAUUCUAAUCUUCUUAUGCAAAAUCUAUGCAAUUAAAAAAAAAUUCACCAAACGGUAUUUGUCUUUUUAUUGACAUUUAAUAAUAUUGAUGGCAAAUAUAUACAAUUAUCAAUCAAUUGUUAUCAACUAUUCAAGAUAACUGAAAAACUAAUUGCGUGAAGUUGGAGUAAUGAUUGUUUGAAUUGCCAAGAGUUUUUUUUUAAUAGAAACUAUUGCAAUUCAUAUCAUUAAAAAACUUAAAGACUACAAGUCGAAUAAAAAAUCUUUCCUUAUAAAAGAAUUUGACCAACUCAAAGUACAGUGUUAAAUCCUUGAGAUACAAUGAACCUAAAAAUCCUACUUUGACACACCACAAAUAAUGAAUCUAACUUAACAAUCAAUGGAGAUAAAUCAAUUUUACUAGCAAAAUAUAAGCCAAAACACAAGGCAACGUCUUCACCAAAAUCAAUAUCAUUCAAAUAAUUCCCCUUGUGAACGCCUGAAGCUAUCAUAAAAACAACAAAAAAUAAAAAAAUAAAAACAAGUAGACAAGCAAAAAAAUUCCCCAAUAACAAGUUACCCUACAAAACUUUUCCUUGUAGAACAUACACAGAAACCGCAGCUAUAGGGCUAUCGAAAGUAGGGAUGGCAAUGGGGAGGGGAGGGGAGGGGACCAAUCUCCCCAUACCCAUCCCCGAUAUUUUGCGUAUGUCCCCGUCCCCGUCAGAAUUGCUUGAGAGAAUCUCCAUCCCCUCCCCGAAUAAUAACAGGGGAUCCCCGAGGGUCCCCGGUCUUUGGAAAAGCUAGGAAAGAAAAGGGACGUGAAAAACAAAGGGGGUAGAUUUUUUGAAGGGGAAAGAAAAAGAAACCCUAGAUCUAAAUUUUUCUCUUCUCUCUAUGAAGAACUAAACCUAUUAUUCUGGUUGAAGAUUAAUAAAGCUUUGGUUCAUCAUUACUGUGAGAUCUUUCUUAUGCUUUAAUUGUUUUAUUGCUUUUUGGGUAUUUGUUUAUUCUCUAAAUUAUUGUCAUGAUUAUAUUUGUUAAUUAGAUAAUUGGCCACUAUUUAAUUAUCAACUUAAUCUAUUGUCAAUUAAAAGAUUCAUCGUAUGAAGAUUUUAAUAUUUGUGACAAAUAGCAUAGCAGUGCGUUGUGUUAUGAGAAUAAACAAUCUAAUUUAAAUGAACCAUCGUAUGCGUUUGUUGAUUAGGAUUUGGGUCUCUCUGAUUUUUCAGGUUGUCAAUUAAUUAAAUCCUAUGAUUGUAUCUAGGGUUAUCUAUUAAUUAGGGAAAUAACCAAUGGUCGUACCUUAGUUAUCGACUAGUUAAAGAGAGAUUGGCUAUUAAAGGGUCUCAGUAGCUAGGGAUGGCAAAAAUCCCCACGGGGACGGGCACCCUCGGGGAUUUUCCCCAUUCGGGGAGGGUACGGGGAUAAUUUUAUACCCAAUUUUUUUUUCGGGGAGGGGACGGGGAAAAUUUUUUACCCAAUUUUUUAUUCGGGGAGGGGACGGGGAUGAGGUGGAAUCCCCAUCCCCUACCCAUUUCCCCAUUUUAAUUUUUAUUUUUUAUUUUUAAAAUUACUAAUAAAUAUAUAACAAAAUUAUAAAUAUUGGCAAGAUAUGAGUGGAAUUUUGGGUGUGACAUGUAUAUUUGAUCCAAGGUAUAAAAAGAAGUUCAUUGAAUAAUACUUUUCUUUUUAUUUUUAAAAUUACUAAUAAAUAAAUAACAAAAUUAUAAAUAUUGUUAAAAAUAAUAAAUAUCAAAAUAGUUGUAUGUUGGGAAAGUGGUCACCCCUUACCAGGAAUUAGUGGAAGAGUAUCAAUUGAAGUUUUCACCAAUUGUUUAUUGCUUUGAUUAUACUGGUUGUAGUUCUUCUAUUAGAUCUACAGGGGAUUCUUAUAAGAAAGCAACCAAAUGGAUGACAUGUUUUGAUGAUUAUGUAAACAAUGGAGAUUGUGCAGUUGUUGCAGAUGAAUUAGAUUCAUAUUUGGAUGAAAAAGUUAUACCCCGGAUGGAAGAUUUUAAUAUUUUGAGUUGGUGGAAGACAAAUGCUAAUAGGUAUCCUACAUUAGCUCGAAUUGCUACAGGACGAGCAGGAGGUAAAUAGUUUUAUUAAAAAUAUUAAUUAAGUAUCUACAUUUAUUUCAUUUAUUUUAUUGCCGAUGUAAAAAAUAUUUUUUUUUUCUUUUUAUUGUAGGAUUAUGAAGAUUGAGACAUUGAUAAAGAUAAUUAUUUUAAUAAUUUAUAUUUUGAAUGUGACUUUGUAAUGGAUCAAUAUUAAUGUAAGAUAUAUUUUAAACUUUAUUUUUAUCUGAAUUUUUUAUUUUAAUAUGAUUAAUUUAAAAUCAAAAAUAAAAAAAUGUAUUAGACUAUUAAUUAUUCGGAGACCGGGGACCCUCGGGGAUCCCCUGUUAUUAUUCGGGGAGGGGAUGGGGAUUCUCUCAAGCAAUUCUAACGGGGACGGGGAGGGGACGGGGACAUACGCAAAAUAUCGGGGAUGGGUAUGGGGAGAUUAGUCCCCUCCCCUCUCCUCCCCAUUGCCAUCCCUAGAUUUUUGCCAUCCCUAUCGAAACCUCUACCCACCACUAUUAGAGUUAAAAAAAUCUCUGAUAUGAGUGUAUUCUUCUAAUUUGAACUCUAACGUGAUUUUUUGAGAGAUUCAUUGGAAAAAAACCUUAAGGAGUUAAAGAAGAAAUUUAAAAAAAAAAUCAUAAAAAGAGGAAUGAAAAGAAAAAGAUGCUUUACCAAGAGUUGAUUGACAGUAAUUGGUAAAUUUGAGCAUGCAAUAAAAUUUACCCAUAUAUUCAUAUGACAUAAAAUAUAAUUUUAUUCAUUAAUUACACUACUAAUUUGUCUAAAUUUUAGUUUUUAAAAAAAUAAAUUUCUAUAUAUUUACAUAAAUCUUAGUUUUUAUAAAAAUAAAUUGAAAAAUAAAUUUAUGUUUUUAUAAAAAUAAAUUUAUGUUUAUUUUUUUACAUUGACCUGAAGAAAAGACUAGUACUACUAAGCUGCUGUACGGCCAAGGCGGAUGUACGGUACAGCAGCAAUUUGACUGUUUGGGGGUGGGGUUGAUGGCUUACAUCAAAGUUAGUGUGUGCUAAGGAUUAACAAUAAUAAUGGGGUAAAUAUGAAAUUAAUCCUUGCCCAAGCAUUAGAAGUUCGUCGGUUUUCUUUUAACCGGAUAAUUACCGGUGAAUAUGUCACGCGUUCCUACACGUGGCAGCAUCUAAUUUAUUCGCUUGUCAUUUCAGUUUCUGUUAGUUACAGUUUCUGUAACGUAGCUAGCUCCGUCAGGUACAGGCAUGUUGUAACUUACGUUUCUCGUAAAAAUCAUAUAAGUUCUAUUUCUACCGCUAGGGUGAGCAUGGGUUGAUUUGGAUUAAAUUUUAAGUUAAUUUAAAUUAAAUUAUAAAAAUUUGGGUGUAAUCUAAAUUAAUUUAAAUAUUUUUAACAUAACUCAUGGGUUGGUUAAAUCAAACUAUAAAAAUUUGGUCCAACUCAAAUUAACUCAAAUAUUUUCAACACAACCCAAAGCAACUCAGUUGGAUUUUAUUAAAAUUAUAAUAAUUAUUAAUUGUUUUUAAACCAACCAUUUUGAGUUUGGUUUGGAUUUUAUUAUCAAAAUAUAUUUUUUAUUUUGAGAAAUUUAAUUUUAUCAAAAUUAUAAUAAUUAUUAAUUGUUAUUACUUAUUAAAUUGAUAAUAACAUAUAAAAAUUAUAAUUCAUAAAAAUUAUAAAUAACAAAUUUUACAAUAACUUAAUCCUUAAAUUAAAGAAUACUAGAAAAUUAAAAUAAAGUUUAAUCACAAAAAUCAUUAUUUAUCAAUAAAUAAGAAAAUUCUAAUAAAAAACUUCUACAAGCACGAUAUCGACAAGUAAAUUCAAAGAAAGAAAGAAAGAAAGAAAAGACUAGUACUACUAAGUAUUAACCCUAUUACAACACAAACUCUAACAAUGUCCAUACAAAUAAAAAAAAAUAAGACAUUCUAACUCAAGUGUCAAAGCAAUCCAUCAUAAUCAUUUCCAUCCGUAGUACUUUAAUCGAGAGAUUCCACGAUUAACUGACAAAAUGUAUGACAAUGAUAAUUUACAUUGAUUAUGACAUAAUAGAGAUGGAUUUGUCAAAGCCAAAUCAUUUGCUGGAAAGGAAUUUAGUUGAAGUAGGAACCAAAAUUCAACUUAGAUGGAUCUAUAAAAUUGGUCAUUCAAUACAUAAGUACUUUAUCAACAGAUUCAACACAUUAUAAAUUUAUGGAUUCAACUAAGUUACAACCAGCUGCAACUUAUUCCUCUCACAUAAACAAUAAUACAGCGGUAGGCUAUAUUAUUUACAAAAAGUACUUAUGUAUUGAAUGACCAAUUUUAUUACCUGCAAAAUUAAUUAAUCUUUCACUCUAUCAUCUAACUAAUGGAAGGCAAUCUUAUUUUAGGUUGUAAUGAUUAGAAACUAGCAGGAAGUGGGGGCGAUGCUCCAUAUUAAUUUGGAUAAAUCCCUUUCUAGUGAAGAAGUUAAAAUUAUAAAAUAGAGAUCAAGAUAGAAAUUUAAAGGCCCCGAUUGUUUUUUACAGACUUAAAAAUGAUAUUGAAAAAUUAAAAGCUAAUUUUAGUAUUUAAAAAUUACUUUAAGAAAAAUCACCCUAUCUUCCUGUAAAUUUUGAAAAGCAUGAAAAGAGCAGUUUUUCAAAAAUUGAUUUCGAAAAUUAGUUUCAUACUUAAUACAAUUCCAUAUAUCCUAACAUUUAUUAUAAAAAUUCAAAUUAUCCUUAUUAAAUUAGGAAAUAAAGUCAGUACAUUUAAAUAAGAGUGAUGAUAUAGACACAAACUCUUGUACCAACUGACGUAGCAUUAAUUUAUUAGUUGAAUGAAAAUAUAAAAUAAUAUAAAUAAAUCAUGUGGGCCAAGAAAUAUUUAAUUUAACCAAUUUUAUCAUGUCACAUUAUAAGCAACUUAUAAACUCAUUGGAUUCGACUCUUUACUAAAAUAAAAAUAAAUUAAUAUAUAUAUAUAUAUAUAUAUAUAUUUACAUACAUAAAAUGUGAUUAUAUACACAUAUUUAUAAUUGAAUAUGUACAUAAAUUCUGUAGAUUUAUGUCUAUCUAUACAUUUGCAUUCUUACCACAUUUUAAAAGUGUGAUUUACCAAAUACAUGGGACUUAUUUGAAAUUUAUAGCACUUUUAUAAAUAAAAUUUAUCAAACGUUAAACAGAUUCUCUAUUUUCGCGUAUAUAUCCUCAUGUAAAUUAUAAAAAUUCAAAAUUAUCUUUAUUCAAUUAGGAAAUUAAAUCAUUAUUUUUAAAGAGAUUCUUAUUAUUACUAAUUAGAUUCAAAUAACCAAAAAAAUACAAUCAAUAAAAUAAAAAUAUUUAUUUUAGUUAUCAUUUAUUAUAUACACAUAUUUAUAAAUGCAUGUGUAAAUAAAAUUUUAUAGAUUUAUGUCUAUUUAAGUUAUUUGCAUUCUUACAACAUUUAAAAAAUGAGAUUUACUAAACACAUGUGAUUGUUUUUAAAAAAGUUACAACACUUUUAAAAAUAAAAUUUAACAAAUGUUUAAUUGACUCUCUCCAAAGGUAAUUGUUUUUACAGUAUAGCUAAAGUAAUUUAUAAAUUUAUGAUAAGUAUUUGUGAAUAUUGGUCUAUGUAAAGAAGUAAAAACAACAUAUAUAUUAAGCAGCAUGAUAUUAAAACUCUUAGUAAAAUACAUAUACUAAUAAAAGAAAGACAACAAUGCAAUAAAUAAGCUUAUAAUAUAAAUUAUUAAAAUUGUAUAUUAAAAAAUUAUGCAUGAAAUUCUUUUUCUAUUUUGGUGAUAGAGAAUGCGAUAUAAUUGAAUUAUUUGAUUUAAUAAAAAAAAAAUAUGACUGUGAAGGAAAUUAACAAUUGAAUUGUGGAAUGUUAUUAAUUGUUAUUGUAUCAUUUUGCAACGUUCUAAUAAUAUGGACAAUGUUACAGUAUAUUGAUGGGCGGUAAUAUUUUCACCUCUUAAAUUGUGUAAAGUCAGCUCCAUUUAAAAAAAUUAUAUAUAAAAAGCCCAUUAGUUUUAAUAGUUUCAAAUUAAGAUUAAAUGCAAAUAAUUAACCAAUUAAAUCCUUAUUAAUAAGAUCAUUGAGCUUUAAUUAAACUAAUAAAAUGCAUUUGAUAAAUGAAAUUUACGAUAUUUAAUUACAUGAAAUUUAUUGACUACAUGAAUAAUAUAAUUGUUCAGCUGUUUAAACUUUUUCCCUAUUUAAAUUUUAAAAAACAAUGUGAAAUUUUGUAAAUAGUUCUUUGAAAUGGGGUGGAUUUACACCAUUUGUGCAGUGCAAAUAUCCUAAUUCUAACAUUUUUUUUAAAAAAAAAGACCAAAUCAUAACAUUUUUUGUAUACUAAGUUAAAGUAGUACUAACAUUAUAGCCCCCUAAUGAUUUCAAUUCAUUCAAUGAAUAUAUAAUUUAAGCAUGUUAUAAACUAAGUCUCUAAAUCGAAUUAAAAAAAGAAAAAAGAGCUUAAUUGCUGACAUAGUUGAAAAUAAAAUAAAAAAUUUUAUUAUUAGAUGAAAAAUUAUGAAACUUAAGGGGUAUAAGCGAGUCGGCAGCUGCUCACCAGGGCAUAUGUAAUAUUUGUUAAUACAUUUCAAAAUUUUAGGUUUUUUAAUAAUAUUUUCAAUACAUUUUCUAGAAGGUUUAGAAAAAAAAAAUGACUCAAUACUUUAAUCGAGCUAUGAAUAAACUCAUGUGUUAAAAAAUUUCAUAUUUACACCCAAUAAGAUUAAUUAAUGGGUGAUACAAAUUUAAGAUAGUUAAUAAUAAUAUAUAUCAUCUUAAGUUAACUUCAACUCAUUAACCUUGUAUAAGGUUUGAUGGGUCGUGCCGCAAAUUAUCACCUCUAAUCCUUUUUGCAACAGGCAUGAUGAAUGCUAACAAAAUGAAACUUCUAUAUAUUUAGUUGUUAUUCUUUUUAAUGAAAUAAUAAGGAGCUUUGCUGCAAAUUUCCAUCCAGCAUGGCAUGGACGCACGUGAAAUUUGCUAGUAUGGUCCUGGACAUGCGUGGCUGAGAUGCUUCUAAAGGCAAAGAAUUCCAAGUUCAUACCAAAUAUAACUUUCUGAUAUUUUUGUGGUAUCAAGUUUGUUUUUCACAAACUAAGGUGUCGGCGUAAAGUUGUUGUCCAUGCAAUGAAGUUUUAUACAUAAAUAUAUUAACCUAAAUUGUUACUAAAGUUCCAUAAUUAGCAGUUCCUGAGAGUUUUUACUAUAUAUUUUUUUGUUUUAAUUCAACAUAUGUUUAUUUAAUACGAUUUUAUUAAAUAAAUGUGCAUAUUUACCAUAUUUGUCUACGAUCAAUUAGUUGGAAAAAAAAAAGAAAAUUAAUAAAUUUAUUUAUUUGAUUGUUAAUGGUUUAGGCAUUUGAAUUCCCACAAAGUCAGGGUGUCAGCUCUGGACUUCUGGUGAUGUAUUUUUCUAAUAAAGAAAUAAAAUAUUGUUGUCAUUUUUUUAAUAUUCUAAUUUACCAAGCCUACCAACCAAUUAAUUUUUCUAAUUAGAUCAUUAAUUCAUUACACGUGCAUUCGCUGGCCCAGUGCUCCAAUCCCAUGCAUGCUGCACAACUCAAUGUGUUUUAAUAAGAAAAGGUUUGGUUAGCCUGUGCUGAUGCCAGAAGCCCCUUAAGGAGUUCAGGUAAACGUAAAUAUGUCCAGAUUUAGAUUUGAAUAUGUAAACGUAAAUAGGUCCAGAUUCAGAUUCGUUGCGCUAGAGAGGGGCACGCACGAUCGGGCUGCUGUCAGGUGGUACGUUGGCGUGGCAAUUCUCAACACGCGCUUCUCCUGGUGCAUACUUACGGCAAGUUGACACGUGACCCGUGUGGAUUGAGUGGACAGAGUCACGGGCACUGAUUUUUGUCAUCCAUAACGACUAACGUCGGAGACUUCGAGAAGAAAGAAAUUGUUGUCGUUUCUAAGGGGAAAAAAAUAUUUAAUUUGUUGAAGACAAAUUAACGUCGGAGAUUUUUUUUAUUUUUUAUUUUUAAUUUUGCAAUCUAAACCAGUCUAAUCAAAAUGUCAAUUUGACAAAAGUUGGACUGAUUUAGAUUAGUUCUAUUAGUUUGAUUGGAUUAAAUUGAAUUAGAUCUUGAACAUCCUAACACUUUUCAUGAAUGUUUUCCUUUUUUUUUGAAAAAAAUUAAUAAGGAGAAUUCCCAUGAAUGUUAAUUUUAUUGAUAAACUUGGCAAUUUUAAGAAAUGUUUUGACGCACGAAUAAUGCAAUUCAUCAACCCACAUAGAUAUGGAUAUAGGAAGCAGAGACCAGAUCGAUCUUGACAUAACGAAAACUUGUAUGUGUAUAUGUAUGUUACAGACCAGAUCGAUCUGUAGCAUAGACUUCUCCUAUAUGUAGGUUAUAUUCAAAUUACAAAAUGAACACAUGUUAAGGAUCUACAACUUCUUCUUUAAUCUAAUAAGCUCCCUCAACUUUAUUCCAAAACAAAAAAGAAUCAAAUUUUUGUUGGAAAUAUUUAUGAAUGAAGAAGCAAAAAGCGCUUGUAUCAAGGAUCUAAUUAAAGAACUGCCAGAGGCAUAGAUCUAUCAAAGCUCCCUCGCAUGACUCUUGGUCUCGGUGGCUUCUUCUUCUUCAUUCCGAAUUUUCCCUCCAUCUGAUCUCUUCCAACCUUUCCAUUUCCAAAUUGAAUUGAAACUUGCCUCAUAUUCGUUUGUUGAAUCCCAUCUUUUGUUGCACCACCAUGCAUCAAAAUCCUUGAAAUCCCAGCAUAAUGCAAGGACUCAGCUAUUUGCAAUGGGGUCACGUUCUUACUUGUCCUUGCCUCAACAUCAGCUCCCUUCUUCACAAGCAAUUCAGUCACAUCUGUGUGGCCAGAUUCCACCGCACAAUGCAAAGCUGUGUACCCAUCUUCAUCUUUAGCAUCAACAUCAAUCCCUUUAUCAAUCAGAAUCCUCACAACCUCAAUCUUUCCCUUAAACGAAGCCCUAUGCAAAGCAGUCCAUCCAUGUAGGUCUUUCCCAUUGAUCGCGGCGCCUGCUUCGAUCAACCUCUGCAUUGUCCUCACUUCCCCUUUCCUAGCGGCAAUACACAGGCUGUCACCAAGCUUCAACGCGUCAAAGAGACGGGAGUGACCGCACUCAGCAGCAACAUCAUAAGCGGUCUUUCCGCUCUUGUUUCUAAUAUAUUUAUUAGCACCCUUCUGCAAUAACAGCUUCACCAUUUGCUCAUAUCCCAAGCUUGCGGCGAUAUGCAAAGGCGUGUCACCGUCUCUAGCGUUGCGUAUAUCAGGCCUUGCUCCGUUUGCUAACAGAAGUCUCGCGCAAUCUCUUCUUCUGUCUUCAACCGCGAGAUGCAGAGCUGUGUUACCAUCUUUUGUUAAAGCAUUGACAUUAGCACCUUUGAUUAAGAGAAGCUUUAGUACUUCCAAAUGGCCGCCUCGUAAGGCCAAGUGUAUGGGCCCCCAUGUUGAUGUUCCUGAUCUUUCUGUGCUGGCUUUCCUCGCCAACAAGAGCUCAACAAUAAGUGCUUCCCCUGCAGCCGCCGCGGCUUCAAGUGGAGUACUGCAGCCACACCUGCCUUGAGACUCAACAUCCGGCCCAAACUCAAGCAAAAGUUGAACAAUAUCAGGCCUCCUUUGAGCUAUAGCAAUAUGAAGCAACGUUUGUCCCUGCGCAUCGGCAGAAUCAGCCGGGUUCCAAGCCGGGUCACUCCGCUCAAGAACCUCUCUUAAAUCAUCCAUUUCACCAUCCUUAACAAGCAGAACCAAAACAGGAGACCCAACGAACAUGAUCUUGAUUCCGCUGUCGAUGAACACUUGCUUCUUCCUCGUUGUGAACCAGUCACUGGGGACGGAAUCAAGCGUCGACGUUGCAUCUUUAAUUCCAGCUCCAGGAACAACAACGCUGUGCAAGAGGAAGGAAUCAUCACAGUGAGGGAAAGAAUCAGGAAGAACCGAUCCUGGAGGGAGAUGAUACGCAAUCUCUACGCUUAGUGUUGCGAGUGGUGAUAUGAUUCCUGAUUGCGGCUUCACAGUAUAACGAGCCUUGUUUGUAGGCUGAAUCCUGAAAGCAACAGGCAUCGUGUGCAUGACAUUGCGGAGAGUCAGCUCCCCGGAACAUUUCUGCCCUGGUUCAAUUCUGAUAGCUACAAGGUUCGACGGCUCCAAGCUUACAAGCCUAUCCAUUGAUUAAUUUUCUCUCCGUUUCCCAAGGACUGCUGAAAGGGGUUCUUUGAACUUUUUGAUUCAGGCUUAUUUUCUUCACUUUUGGUGGCAUGGGGAGGAAUUAGAGGAGUAACUGUAAGAGCUGCAAGUGUUGGUGUAAUCAACUGUAAUAUAAGGAGAAGAGAGGGCCGGCUCUAAUGGGAGACUGCCACGUGGUGGUGUUAAAAACAAUGAGACUUGUUCUGUUCGGCGUCCGGAGUGUAUAUACAGUUGUGUUAGUGGUGAAAGUUAAAGAAAUCCUGAAGUUAUUUUCGGAGUGGCUUCUGCAAAGUCACUUUCAGGAUUGUAUUGUAUCAUUAAAAAACAAAGCCAGUUUUUGUUGUUCUAGUAAAAGGCGAAUCAUUGGACAAACUCGUAAGAAUAUGUUGCCAAAUGUAUAAAAUAUGAAAUUCAAACAAUGAUUACAAUGUGAAAUUGGACAAUGGACAUGGCCUGUGUGAAUUGUUUUGUGGGCUUACUAAUUAAAUUAAUUCACUAAAAAUAAUGUCACUUUUGUGUCUGUGAAGAAGCCGAAAUGGCACAGUCAUUUACGUGGCCAACUACGGUGACUACUUCGUCAGUAGCUGCUCGAGCACUUGGUCAGCACAAGUUGCUUUCUUUCUUGGCGGGAUUAGUUUUUCUUCAUUGCUUUAAGUGGUGCAUUUCUGCAGUUUCAUUUUGCUUUGCUUAUGCCAUUGGAUUUGUGCCCCAUAAAUAAAUAUAUAAUUAAGCGGAAAAGUAUCAAAUUUUGAAAAAGCUUAGGUUUUGUGUGUGUGUGUGUGUGUGUGUGUGUGUGUGUUUUAAGCCGAAUUACUCGGCUAAAAAUUAAUCCGAUUAUUAUUGUUUUGGUGCUUAAGAUGUGACUCUAACCUAAAGCUCAUUUGAACUCUCUUGAUGCUCAUAUGGUAUUUUUUGUGUUGUGUCGUGCUGGCCCUUACACAUCUCGGCUCAUAUUUUUCAUGUUACUAAGUUCUAAUAUGUACAAAAGAAAUAGAGCAAUGUCCGGUGGUAGAUCCAAACACUCAAUUUGGGGUGCUUAUUUUUCAGUCUCAAAUUCGAUUAUUUUCUUUUAAAAUAUUAAAAUAAUAGUAAUAAAAUACUUAUUUUAAAUACUGAGCUCAUUACAACCACAUAUGUAAAAGUAUCAUUUAUAUUUUUUUUCUAAAUAAUCUUCACAAAAUAUUUUAAAAAAUAAAAUUAUGUGACUAUGGGGAUUUGAACCAAGUCUCUCAAACUACUAAAUAACACUUUUACCACUAAAUUACAAAUCUUUUAACAUAUUAAAAGUGCAUCCAAAUUAUUAUUAUUAUUUAAUUAUUUCAUAAGAGAUUUGGGGCACAUUUAAAAGAAAAAAAAUUAAUGGUGCAUAAAGGACUAAAGCCUCUCUUGAGUCCUUGACCUUAACUAGGUCCACCCAUGGUAAUGUCAGUGAUACCCAACUUGAAAAAUAUACAAGAAACUUGGAAAUUUAAAUUAAUGAAUAAAUAAAUAAAUAAAAGGAAACUUAGUGAUUGUAGCUGUUGUAUUGUAUUGUGGAUCAAAGAAUUACAAGUUCUUGGUUUCUCGGUAUUGGCUAAUUUUGAAGUUAAAUGAAGUUCGAAAAUAUUUACAAGCAAUAAAAUUAUCAACUGAAUGAGACAAGGAAAGAGUAUAAAGACCUUAGCAAAUUAGCAAUCCUUCUUUAAUUUAGUAACAGUGACGCUUAUAAAGUUAGAAGACGUAUCAAAUCUAAUUUAGAUUUUGCCCCAUAAAACUAACUUAACUUAUAGUGCGUCUUUGUUUAAUUAGUAAAUAUUCCACAAAAACUGAUCAGCACUUUAUAGGAAAUUCCAAACACGUUUAUAUUCACAAGGAAUAUGUCAAGGAGAAAUGAGAAUAAAAAAAUGUAAAAACUAAUAAAGCUUCAUUAAUUAGAAUUUAUAACCAUAUGUGCUCCUAUACUACUUUUAUUAUUAAGAAUUUGAAGUAGAAGGUAGUUGAUUAUCAUGAAAUUACAAAAUUGUAAACGGAUUUGUUCUUUUGGAAAAAGAAAAAAAAAAAAAAAGGAAGGAUAGUUGAUUACUUGAUUAGUGAGAAAUCAUACGUAUAAAGGACAAAUUGAAAAAUGGGACCUGAAUUGCAACAAAGCUUCAUUGGAAUUAACUGCCGAUAAAAUUAAAUUAGUAUCACCCUACCCUUUCAUCUUAAUAUAUUCGAAAUUUCACCGAUCAAAGUUUCUAGCUUCGAUUUUUACGAUCUCUCAUCCUAAUAACACCAAAAGCAUAUUCAUUCGUUUGUAAGAUUAUGUAACAAAAUAUAGUAAAUAGCCUAUAAUUUUUUUGUUUUACUACUAACCUGUUAUCAUUCUUUUCUAAUAAUACAUGUUAAAAUAUUCACAGAAAAAAUUUAUCCCUAUUACACCCAACCACCUUUUUUUGUGUUUUUUUUGUUCAAAUUUUAGCAUUAAAGGGACAAUAAUGUCCUAUGAAAUAUGCAGAAAGACAGUUAAUAAUAUUCAAAAAUGUAAGUGGAGGUAUCUUACGCCACACACACAAAUUACACGACUCUCAUUAAUGUGUUGUUGUUGUUAUGUGUGGCGUAAGUUACAGUUGAAUGUCAUAUUCAAAAAAGUAAGUGGAGGUAUCAAUCUCCCUAAAUAAAUAAUUUAUGGAAGGUUGUUAGCUGUUGUACUUUUAGUUAAUUUUAAAAUCACAAUAAUAUGGUUAAUGUUAAGUUACAUGCAUGUAACUUAGGAGGAUCCCAAUAAUAUACCAUAUUUUAUUAAUAUGUACAGUAUUUAUAAUAUUUAAAAAUUAAGGAAUUAAUGUACGCAUGUAAAAGCUGCAUUGGAGCCAGUUGGAAAUCUUACUGUCUUGAUAUAUGCAACGAUUGUAGCAGCUAAAAAGGCAUGAUAUUUACUUAAUAUUAUUUCAAACAAUAAUUAUUUAUUUAAAGCAAAUAAUAAUAAUGAGGGCAGAAGGACUAUUCUAGGAUCAAUAUGGUGACAGUAUAAAUAAAUAAUAUUAAUUAUUAAUGCAUUGAUGAGUAUUGUUAAAAUGACAUAAUAGGUUUGUUUCAUUGAAUUGAACCUUUUCUCUUAAAAUAGCUAUAAUUUGUUCUCUCUCUCUCUGUGUUUUUGUUUUUGUUUUUCACUUUAGUUUUACUUCUCUUAAAAAACCAAAAAAAAAAAAACAAAAUUAAUGGAAACUGAUGAUGGGAAGACGGACAAUUUUCUAUAUUGUUAAAUAGAAAUGGGCACAAAUGUGAGUUUUUUGGGGCAAAAAAAUAUAGUCAAUGUACGUAGCGUUUGUCUAUUUGAAAACCCGUCAAUAUAAAAACAGGACGUAAAGCUUUCAGACAAAGUACUCUUAUGGCCGUACUUUCCAUAAACCAAAUCAAAAGAAGGAAAAUAUUUGUGUCUGGCUUCGAUGCGACUGUUAACAUUCACAAAUAAACACCUUUGCAUGGUCAGAAAAAUUAACAAGAAAUUAGAAGGCGAUGUUGCGUUCUACUUAGUUCUCUAGGAUUUGUGUCAUUUGUUUAUGCUACGGUUCGUUCCCAUUUGCAUUGCGUGGAAUAAUUGGCCGAAUAUUAUUAAUCUCAAUCUUAAUCUCUCAACUCUUGUCCCUUUAAUUUUUGUUUGUAUCUUUUUCUUUUUUUUUUUAAAUAUCACAUACAAUGCUUUUAAUAAAUAACUUCAUAGAAAUAUUUAAUAAAAUCCAACAUAUAUAAGUUCAAGAAACUCAAAAAAUAAAAGAAAAUAAACUCACGUUGUCACUGGAGAGACUCAAACAUGCUACCUUAAAAUUAAGUAGAGGGUGCAACUACUUGCACUUUAAAAAAAGAAAAGAAAAAAAAAGGGGCUUUGAACGCUCGUGAUAAUUUGCAAGUUAUGGAGGAUAAUCAUUGUACAAUGGGGAGAACUCUUAUGGAACAAUAUUCAAACUGAUAUUGAAAGCAUAUAAGAAUUUGGCUUGGGUGUUUUGGUGCCAUGAAUGAGUGCAGAAACAAAGAGGAAGCUUUGUCCCUUUAAUUUGAUCUGCUGUAUUAUAAUUAUUGAGAUUAAUCAAAUAAAUAACCGAAACAUGGUUACAGUUUUAUAGUGUAUUGCAAGUCUUUGGAGAUACUAUGUACCUCAAAAAAAAAUAUCGUAUAAAAGAGUGUUUUGUUUCACAGGGGUUCAAUGAGAUUUGAGAUGGCUGUAAUGAAAGUGAUGUAAAUUUUUUGGACUCUAAUGAGGUGUUUUUAGAUGGAGGGGGAUUUACAAGUAUUUUAUAGGGGUGAUAAAUGACUGUAUACCCACCAAAAAGGCCCAUUGUUCGAGUCCAUGAGCAUUACAGUUUUUUUUUUUUUUUUUUUUGAAAUUCAGAACAUGCAGUUUGUUUGAUUCAACUUCCGAAUUACAAAAUUAGAAUAAGAAAAAAAAAUGUGGAUGUUUUUUCUUUAAUUUACAUAAUAAUACAUGGUGUGGACGAUGUCUAUUGAGGGAUAAAAGAGGAAUGGGGGCACUGUGAAGUUUGUGUUUUUGUUUUUUUUAAAUUAUCAUAUUCAUACUGUCUAUAAAAAUAUGCAAGUUAAAAAAUUACUCAUGAUAUUGUUGUUUUUGUUUCAUAUAAUACUACUUAUGCACAUCGCCUCAUGCAAACAUUUCUUAGUUAUGCUUAAAAAAAUGAGAUUCUCACCAUGGGUCACUGUAAAAAUCCACAGAAGCCGUGGAUCACAGUAGGAAGCCCACUUGAACAGAAGAAGCUACCGAAAGCUUCGACAUUGUAUUUAUGAAAUGCUUAGUAAAUUUUGUUUUAUUUUGAAUUUAUAUUAUAAAUGGUGUGUUGCUAAAUUAAAAAAUAAAAAAGAAAUGCAAUGUGUCAAAAUACAAGAAUCUUACGGACAUUUUUGUCACAAUAUAUGUAAAUAAUUCAUAUCUUAUUCAUAUCCUAUGUAAGCUUCACUUGUUUAACACAAUGGUGGUUGAAUCUUCAAAAAUUCAUAAUCUUAAACAACCAAAUUUGGAAUUAAUUAAGCAAAUUGCCUCUAUAAAUUGAUUACAACAACCAACGACGUGUGAAGCCACAUGUCAAUUUCCCUAGACAGCCCAAAUAUUGAGGCGCUGUGAGGGAGCAAGGUGCAAUCGGAUGGGGGAAAGAGAGAGAGCCAAUGGUGAGAAUGGAUCGUGGUGAGGGAGAACCAACUGGUGGUGAGAUUUGUGGCUUCAAUGAGGUGAGUUUCGUGGCGCUGUGAGUGAAGUGAGAUUUGGCAUGAGUGUGAGGGAGAAUGCGUGUGUUGUGUGAGUGAGGUAAGCUGUGUCUGUUGUGUGCAUGGAGACUCUCACCACAAUUAGAAUUUAUAGUUAGCACAGAACGAAACACAAUAUUCUACGCUAACUGUGGAGUUAACCAUGGUGAGAAUAUCAUUAUUGUUUAUUAUAACACUUUUUUUUUUAAUUUGUUUUGACAAUAAAAUAAAGAACCUUGUAAGAAAACCUCAAUAACUCAAUUAAAAAACCAACUCAACCGAUGAUAGGUAAAUUGAGAAAUUUUCAACUAAAAAUUAUUAAGAUUGGUUUUAACUUCAAAUCAUAGUCACAUAGUUUUGUCCUUAUAAAGAUCAAAAUAAUGAAUUCUAACUCCGAAGUUUUUAGAUUUAUGUGACGAACUGACGAUAGUAUAUUGAAAUCGAUUGAAAUGAAAAAUUUAAUUAAAUGCAAUUCAAGAUGUAGUAUCAAAUUCAAACGAUUCGGAUUGUUUUAAAAAUUUCAAUGCUUUAAUCUAAAUCGAUUAAUCAAUUACACUCUUGCAAUUAUAUACCGUUAAAACUAAAAUAUGUAAAAUUUAGGGUGCAUUUAUUACCAUUUUCAAUUUGUUGUUUUUCGUUUUAUGAAAAGGAAAAUACAGAAAACUUGUUUGGUGAGCUCAUAUUGGUGGAAAACUGUACAGUGAUUAAAAACAAAAAAAAAUUCAUUUUUCAAUGUUUACAAAGGAAACAAGAAAACGCUAUUACACUGGGUUCUCUAUUUUAUUUCACUUUUACUCUCUGCCAAGGCCCUACCAUCUUAACUUUUAUAACAUGGUGUAAUAAAUUACGUGGGCCCAUUUAAUAAAGAAAUAAUCUAAUAAAUAAAUUAUUAUAACAAAUAUUUAAAAAUAAUAGCAUUCCAUACCUUACAGCUUAAUUACUUAAUAUAUUACCCAAAUUAUUUUAAAUAAAAAGUGAUAUCAUAUAAUUAUUAUACUAAAUUAUUACAUUGUUCGACCAAUAUGCAGUUAUUUAAAAAUUACUACAAACUUUCUUACAUAUAUUAAUGAAAAUAUAUCAAUAAUAAAGUUACAUCUUGACAGUUAAUAUAAAUAAAUAUAUGAUAAUUAUGAAAUAAUUAAAGAUUUUCUCAAUUAAUAUUAUCUUAUAACUACAAUUUAUUUACAUAAUUAAAAGUUUUUAAGAAAUUAUUAAAAUAUCUUCAAACCUAUAUGCAUUUAUAAUAAUAUAUAAUACAUCAUAAUAUAAUAACUAAAUAGAUAAAUUAUUUAUUAAUAUAAAAUAUAUGUUUAUAUUCAUUAUAUAAUAUUAUUCUUUCAUAGUAGUUUCAUUAAAUAAUUCUCUACUCUCUCUCUUUUUAUCUUUAUUUUUUCGGACAGACAAGUAACCAAACACCGCUUCACCUUUUUUUUAUUUUCAAAUACUAUUCUUAAAAUAAACUACCAAACAUAUUUUUAUUUUUAACAAAAACUAAUCAUUUUUAUUUUAUAAAACAAAUUGAAAAGUACUAUUUAAAAUAUAAUACCAAACUUACCCUUAAUAAUUUUAUAUUUGUCAAAAAGAUGAGAAGCUAAGUGGCACUAUCGUUUACCUAUUCAAACUAAACGUGGAGUCACAAUAUUGAAGACACUUUGGUGGCCACAACACUCUUUUCUUUAGUACGGAACAAUCUGGCUUACAUGACACUACAUAAAAAUAAAUAAUAAAAAAUCACCGAUUCCAACUGCCCCGGACAAAAAACAGGCCACACGUAAAAAGGCUUCUAUUUUUAUUUUUAUUUCUCCCCAUUUUAAAGAUGACGUCAUGGUGAUUAUGAAACCAGAAAAUAACAAAUUUUAGUUGUCUGAUUUUGUAGUUAUCCAGCGAAAACUAAAAAAACAGUGAACGCAGCAGCAGAUCUCCGUGUUUGUCGUCGUUCGAUGAGAGAUUCCGAUUCGUGAGCAUCGCAAGUGUUGAAAUGGAAUCAGACGAAAUGAGGAGUUAGCCUCUUAUUAUAUAAUAAUAAUAAUGAUAAUAAUAAUAAUAACUAAUCUCUUUUAUCAUAUAAUUGAUAAUGGAAAUUCACAUUGACAAAAGGCAAAUUACACACUGACUGGGCAGAAUAAAAAACAGUCUCUCUCAAAAGCAAUAAUUUAAACACUAACACCACCUUAAGGAGACACCCCAAAAAUAAAGCAGCAAGCUCUUACUGUGACCACACACACACACACACACCAAACUUUUAUUAUAGAAUAAAUCUAAGAUGAUGGAUGAUGGAUGCGUCACAUAAAAGUUAAUUAAUUUAAUCGCUGUCACUGCUGCUGCUGCUCUCGUGUCCGUCCUCGUGCUUCUUCUUCUUCUCCUUCUUUUUCUUCUUCUCUUCACCGUGGGCGGCGCCCUCGCCGCCGCCGACACCGGGGAUCUUCUGCUUGAUCUUGUCCACCAAGCCCUCCUUGUGUUCGCCCUCCUUGUGUUCCCCGCCGUGAUGCUGCUGCUGAUGGUGAACAUCAGUAGUGCCGACACCGGGGAUCUGCUGCUUGAUCUUGUCCACCAAGCCCUCCUUGUGUUCGCCGCCGUGAUACUGCUGCUGAUGGUGGACAUCAGUAGUGUGGUGGUCCCCACUAUGGUGCUCUCCCUUGUGCUUGUCCUCCUCCUUUUGCCCUCCUCCCAUGUGAAGGGCUUCUCCGAUCUUGUGAAUAACUCCUGACAUUUUCCCUUAAAAUGACUCUGUUCCUCUUCUUUUCUUUUCAAUGAAAAAUAGUUGUUUGCGAUCUUCUUCUGGUUGUUGUUGUUCUUGUUGGGUGAUCUUGGCUUGGUAUUUAUAGGCUCCAAAAGGAGGGACUAGAAUUAGGAUUAGAUUAUAGAUUAUUUUAAUACAUUUUAUGGCAAAUUCUGAUUUGGAAAGAUAAGAUUAUCCUUUUGGUUUUCCUUAUUUACCCUUUUGCACCCAUUACGUGUACGCGUCUUCGUGGGCUUUUUGGGUAUUUCAAUUAUAUCGCCAAUGCUAAAUCGACACGUUGCAUAUCAGCCGCGGUACUGCCGUAUGUAGUUGUCCAGAAAUCGAGUCGAUUCUCGAUCGUACAAUAAUUAAAUAAUAUUUCAUACGAAAUGAGUUUAGAUAUAUUUUGAAAAUUUAUUUUUAAUUUAAUUAUACGUGUUAUAUAUUUGUUAAUCGAAUAGAGGUCCCACGUAACAGAGUGUUUCUCUAAUCUUUCAUUGCUUUUAAUUAAUUUUACCCAAAUAAAAAAAAAAAGGAAAAUUUAGAGAGAGAGAGAGAGAUAGCGAAUUAGAAGUUGAUUGUAAUAUCGACACCUGUCAGACAAUCAAAUAUCGUUAGUUAAAAAUCAGUUGUCCAUAGUCAUGGUCAUAGAUGGCGAAAUUGAUACUUAUUUUAAAAAACAAAACAAAACAAAACGAAACGAAACUAAACUAACAGAUGUUGAAAUGCAGUUCCGUGUUAACAGUCUGUGAUGAAUCUUUAUCUUUGAGUAUACCAUUCAAGAAAUUAUCAUUCAAAAAUUUAUUUAAAGCAGCAGCAAAUCACCUUCUAAUUCCUGAAUCAAAUUAAUUCGAUUUUUUUCGAGUCGAUCAAUUCAUUAGAGAAUUAACGGGCUAAGUUAAAGUUUUGUUAGUUAUUUUUUUUUAUAUUCCUUUAGAUGAUAUGAUUGUCAUUGUCUUUCUUUCUCUGGGCAACAAUAAAUACAAGAUGUGCAAAAGCGUAGUGGAACAUAAUUCGAUUAUGGGUAAAGGGAUCAGUCCGCAUAAUGAGGAUAAAGUUUUUCUCUUUAAAAAAAUUUAACCCAAAGAAAAGGUCGUAGUUUGUAAUAGCCGACACGCAGAUAGAUCACAAAGCAUGGCGGUCCUGAUGGCAAUAACUAACUGAUAUCUUCUGCGAUGAGAGGAGAUCACGUGGUUCUGACACGUAUCGCCCCAUCAACUGAUGUUGUGGCUGCAAUCGCGGCCCAGUCUUUAGAGAGAAGAAAGAUCUGUUAUAACGGGACCUACUUUAGCAUCUAUUUACGACAAAGCCCCUAUUUACUCUACUUAGUAGUAAUAAUAGCAAGUGUCGGGCUUGGAUUCCGUGUUGCUUUAAAUAAAUAUCCGCGUAAAAAGAAAAUGCUUCUUUAAUCCCUUCCUUGUAAUUUUUCGACACGUGGAUGGUUGAAAUUAGCGUGCCGACAUCUUAGGAAUUUUAUCUUGGAGACGGGAACACUGCAGUAGGCAAUGCCAUUUUCUUCGGAUGGUGUGUGGUGACAACGCCUUGGAUUUUGACGUGCAAAGAAUUUAAAUUGAAAAAGAAAAAAAGAAAUUACCAGAAUAAGCAUAGAAGAGAUAUUUUUCUUUUUGUCCUUUUUGGAAUGGAAAAAGAGAUCAAGAGAUUGUUCCAGUAAGUAUUACACAUGUCACAGGCUUAUUCAUGCCCCAUUAUGGCAACUUUUAUGCCUCGCGGUGCCCUCGGUUCCAGCAUAAUAGCUAAGACUUCAAUUUUUCUAACAUAUUUUUGUUACAAAUAUGAACGGAGUAAAUGUAUAACUUUAAUCCUUUGAAUAAAGAAAUGGCGGUUCUCCUGCUCGUUAAUCUCACUUGAAUCCCACCCAGGCAAAAUUUCUUUAUUUUAUUUAACAACAAUUUAAAGAAAGAAACUUUUGCCAGGUUGAAUUUCAAGUGAGAUUCAUUCGUGGGAGAAGUGCCAUUUCUUUAUUCAAAAGAUUAUGGUAAUUACAACUUUCAAUUUCGACAUAAAUUAAAAUUAUAGGCUAUACAAUAAAAUUGCCCUAAAUUAGUCCUAAUCAAUUCAGAUUAUAAAUUUAGGUAUAUUUAUUAUUUUAAUAUAUUAAUGUUCUAUAUAUAUAUAUAUAUAUAUAUAUAUAUGUGUGUGUGUGUGUGUAUNNNNNNNNNNNNNNNNNNNNNNNNNNNNNNNNNNNNNNNNNNNNNNNNNNNNNNNNNNNNNNNNNNNNNNNNNNNNNNNNNNNNNNNNNNNNNNNNNNNNNNNNNNNNACAGCAGAAAAUAUUUGCUAUGGAUAAGGAGACAUGGUCCCACGUCCCACCGUCCCAAUGCAUAUUUUGUAUGUUUCCAUCUUUUCUGAAAUUUUAAUAAAUAAAGUUUUUUGACCACUUGGCCAAAGAACCUUACCCUUACACAACUUUGUGGUUGGAGUCCUGUGAUACAUGUAAGAACUUAUUUUUUUUCUUAAUUAUAAUAUUUUAGAAUAUAAUUAAGUGAAGUAGGUUUUUUUUUUAAAUAUGAGUAAAAUAGAUAUUUUUUAAAUAUUAAAGAGAGUAAAAUUUGAAUAAUAAUAUAUUAAAAUUAAUACAAACUAAUUUUAAUAAUUAUUUAAUUAUAAAUAUCAAUUAUAACAUCAUAUAAUAUCAAUUAUAAUAUCGUACAUCUCAAUUAAUUCAAUAAUAAUAAUAAUAAAUGUUUUUUGGGAUAAGUAAACAGUCGCAUGGCGACAAUAGUGGAUCUGGAUUAGAGUGAAGUGGUCCCAAGAGGCUGAGGCUGUGGCUGUGGAGUUCUAAAAGUCAAAAGCUCCACGCACUUUGUUUCAGUACCAUACACACUGAAAAAAUUUGCAUUUGCAAUGACGAAAACUUUUCACGAAAUCAAAACACCUCUAAACUAUUUUGUUAUCGAUAUUUAAUGGAGGGGUUUCCUACCUUUUUAACACUCGAUUCACGCCUUGACGCAUCUCACAGAAAACCUCAUGAUCCCAUUAAUCUUGCGUAACAUAUCUCAAAGCCAAUGCAAGUGAUCUUGUUGCCUACUUCCCUUUGACGAUUCAAAAUUGUUGAAAAUAAUUCUUUUUUUUUUUAACCUCAAGGAAGUGACAAAAUAUAAAAGAAUAUUUUCUACACAUUAAACAUCUAGAUUUUUUUUUCUUUUCUUUUUAGAGUACUUGCACAAACCGUUUCCAAGAGAGACCUUUUUUUUUUUUUUUUUUUUCCGGGCUUGGUUACUAAUUUGGUGUGAAUACUCUAUGGUGAAAAAGGAAUCACAAAGCUGUAAUCAAUUUUUUUGCAUCAUUUAGUUGUAACUUGAACAUUGGGAGGUUUAUAAAGAAUUAAAUUAAUUAUAAUGCCUCUACUAGGAAAAGUUCAGAGUAGCCCUUCACAACUUUUUAAAGGCUUAAUAAUUUUCGCUUUCUUCCUCUCAUAACAUAACAAAAAAUUAAGAGCUUUACUCGUACACGUCCUAUGGCUAUAUAGUAUUGGGUUCUCUACUUCAAUCGGCUAUCUCAAACCGAAGGUUAUUUGGACACACCAGCAGUCACGUUUGG